rnacentral:lncRNA from 1 species
CGUAGUGUCCUGGAUCAGCUGAGACGUUAACAUGGCUGGUGAAGUCCAUCACUUCUAGUUUUUCGUCAACUAAGUGCUUGCCUGCAGCUUCCACGGCUAGUUGCAAAUCUUUCUCAGUGUUCUUGUCUAUGUUAAUGCUCAGCAAAAGGUUCCUUCUGCAGACAAACUGGAGUUCUGGAGUGCCAUUUUGGAAUCCUUUUAUCUUGACAACAUCACCUAGUCUGUAACGAUAUAAACCUGCAUAUAUAAACACAUAACUCUCGUCAAUUAUACUAUCAGGACAUAUAGCAAAACUCGUAUUUGACGCAAUAGAUAGACCGAUAGGUAGUUAUUUUGAAUAAAUCUGUUAAGUGUAGUAGACGUGGAACAACUAGACAGAAAAAAUGAAUAUCAAAAGGGUAAUGAAUAUCAAGCACAUGCAAGUAUUGCAGAAUAUAUGAGCACAACAGAAUAUGGACAAAAAAUAUGUUAAUUCCAAAAUAAGGAAUAAAAAAAAUGAUAAAUAUUUUCUAUCUAAGCAGAACUUAGUAUUUGAUGCCAGGCAGGCAUAUGUAAGUAAUCAUAUUUCCUGCAAUAUUGCCAUAAAGAACGAAUACUAAACUCCACAAGUCUAAGCUGAGAGGAAUCGACUCAGUCAGCUGAAUUACAUGAAGUCACAAAGAUUAGUGCAGAACUCGUUAACCAUGAAAAAUAAUUGAAUAAUAAGACUGUGUUCCUAUAAAUGAUCAACAAGCAUAGAAUUUUCAAGAAAAGACGUGCAAGAAAACUGUACCUGCGAAAUUGGUGAAGACAAUUUCAUACUCUUCACCAAGUUUAACUUCAGUCAGGCCGACUAAAGAAUUUGCUUGCUCCACGCCAAUGAGAUUUUCCUCGAGUGGAAGAAAUUCAAAAUAGCCAAUAUUUGGUAACACUGCAUAAGUAACCAUCUCAGGGGGGCAUUUCGGGUUAACAUUUACUCCGACCCAUCCUUCAGAAGAACCAUAAUCUGCACUCAAUAGAGGUAAUUCUCCUGCAUAGUGCCUCAGUUUCUUCAAGUAAGGCUCCAUCGAACCUGUCAUGAUACCAUAAAUGUACUUUGUAUUCGGGAAGAGUUCAGGGAUCAAGCCGUACCAAUUGCUUAAACUUGAGCAUUUGCUAUAAAUUGUUUCAGCCAAUUCUGGAUCAGGCUUCAACAAUUUUGACAUGGCUAAUCUUAUGGAUGGUACAGUGACUCGGCUCGAUAAGACUCCCUCCCUUAUGUCAACAACAAGUUCUUCCCAUACUUGUUCGAAAGUUCGAAAAGCAUGUACAAUGCUAUGUGCAAACGUAGACGAAACAACUUGAACUUCAUCGCGGAAAAUGAGACCAGACAGAAGGUGACAAUAUAAGGAUUGUUGAAAAUCAGGACCAAAUAUCACUUCAUCAGGACUACAAACUGGGGUAGACAUUGCCUUCAUUGUCUUCUUGAAUUGUGCAUUUCUAUACACAUUGGUAGUGGCUGUUCCAGCUGCCAAACCACCUUUAGUUUUAAACUGCUUGCUGCUGUAAAUAAACUGCAAAGCCUUUCCAUUCCCAAUGGGAAAUUCUCUGAAAGAAUAAAACAUAGGCUAUAUGAUGUAUUUGUGACAAAAAAAAACUUCAUGAACCAACAAGCAAAUUACCUGUUCCUAAAGGCAAAAGAAGUCUUGAAUGUCUGCAUAGUGGAAUUCAUCAAUUCAUCAUUGAAAGGUACAAACUUUGGCUUCCCUUGAGUAGUACCAGAACUGCUAAUUAACCAUUAUAUUUCCUCUUUAAACAUACAACAAUAUACGGCUCACAAGUUGGGUCUGAAAAACAGAAGAGAAACUUUUUUGCUUACCUCAAGGAGAUGGCUUGAAUGGGCUUUCCAGUAAGAAUAGGUGAAAGAUCACCAUCAGCAAUUCUUUGAAUGUAAGGAUCCAAAUCACUGUGACUGACAAUGGGGACACAAGCCUUGAAAGUCUCAACAUCAGUUCUGUCAUUCAGACCCCAUUGCUUCAAAUACUCUGUUCCCCCAUUUUCUUUCAGAAUUUUCUCAAGUGUCUCUUGUUGAAUCCUCCCAGCAUCUUUUGUCAUCACCUCAAAAUCCUCAAUCACUUCUUCUGGAUCAAAUAUCUUCUCAAUAUUUUCCAUCAUCUUCACAAUAAAGACUUCAACUUUAAGCAAUAGCAGACAAGUAAAAGCAGUCAAGAAUCCUCAAUUUGAGAGAUGGGGUUGGGGGGUUAAGAAGAAUUUAAGCAACUCCAUAGUUAUUACUAACUUCAAUGCAACUUACCUCAUAAAAAGAAUUGACAGAAAUAAAGGAAACAUGUUUGUAACAGAUAAUCAUACCCAUUAUCUUCGUUUUAUUCUUAAGUUACAAAGAUGAAUCUAGAUAUUGAAAGUACCGAGAUAAUUGUUAUUUUAAUGCAGGCGUUUCAAUUUUUUUCUUCAACUACUAUAGACACGUCAAUUAUUUACACAAAGUUUGAUACAUAAUUCUAUGAAAAAAUUGGGUUGUAACUACUAAAUUUGAUUGUGUUUGACUUUUGGAGACUAAAAUCUUCUGAUUUUUUUCACUCAUUUGGUUUGAAGAAUAUAAGAACUUCACAAAUAAAUCAGACUAUGCAUUGGUUUGAAAAAUAUAGAAACUUCACCAAUUUGUUUAAUACUUUAUUUGAAUGAAUAUUUUGACUUGAAGAGAACUAAAUCUUCGUAGGAUAUUAAGGCUAAAUGAUUUGAGAAAGAUAAAAUCUUCAUGUUAGCUAGAAACAAUGUUAAUUGAGAUUUCUGGAGAUCAAAACCUUUUUGGUUAACUAUUCUGUCUGAAUGUAAAACUGAUAUAUAAAUUUCAUCAAAAUUCAAGAUUCAUUCGGUUAACAAUUAGAAAAAUAUAAAAACUUUAUUGUUAAAUUAGAAACAAGGUUUAUAAAGAUUGAAUUUUUAUUGUUAGUAUUCUAAAUACUAUGUGGUAUGUCUAGUUGUGACAGAAAGGGAAAAAAACACUAGUAACAUAAAAUUAGUGAUUUUUGUGCCUGCAAUGGGUGUUUCUAUGGAUUAAAUCUCCAAAAGAAGGUUUCGUGUUGUCAAUGUGUAUUUUGAUGAUAUACAAGUUCCAAGCAUGGAAAUAAAAUAUGUGAAAAAUAAUUUUAAUUACUUGAAAAAUAUUUUUGAAAACAUAUUUAAAAUGUGCGGGUUCUUUACUUGUGAUAAAGACAAUUUGGAGUAUAUUUGAUACUGUGGUUGUUGAGCAAUUUUGGGGUGGAAGCGAUUAUUGUAAGAGAGAGGGUGGGAAGAAGUUGGAUUAUUUAUUUAUGAGGGAAAACCCUCUAUUUAUACACAAAAAUUACACGCUUUUGGCCAAAAUGGCCGACACUCCUACUUUACACCUUGACUUUUUAUAUUCGGCCGACACAAGAAAACAAAAUACUUACUAUUACUACUUUACAUAAUGGCCUCUUCUUUAUUUCUGGCCGACACACACACACUAUUUACUUUACGACUAACACAAGAAAACAAAAUACUUUUUACAUGAUUGGCCUUUUAUGGCCGACACACUAAUUAUCUAUUUUACGAUUUUUACAGAAAAUCUUAUCUUCGAUAUCUUGCUUCUUCCAUCUUUACUCUAAUUGUACAUCUGGUACGUAAUUAUCUUCUCUUUCACAUUUUGAACAUAAAUGAUCAGGAUAUUUUUGCCCUAUCAACUUGCAGUAUCUUGUCAUCAGAUUAGGAGAAAUAAAGUUUUUCCUUAUAGCUCUUGUUGUUGGUGUAGCUUCUGGCCUUAAUAGACUUAGUAUCCAUUGUCUUAGUUAUUCCACGUCUGCUGAUCAUAUAUCUUUGCAAUUUGAAUAGAUUAUUGUUUGAUCUCGGUUGUAGUAUGUCCAUAUGGCAUUUUCAUUUAGAUAAUUGUUUGUUAUCUCGUUCAAUAUAGUAGCUAUUCCGAUAGUUCUUUUAUUUGCAUAGAAUUCCGGAAUAUCUACUCUUUGUAUUUCUUCCUGGGUGUCUAUCUUUUCAGGGAUUAUCAUUUCCCUAGUCAGCCCGAUUUUUAUAACUUGUAUUGUAGGUUUGACUUCGUCAUACAAUAUCUCUGCCGUAGCUGCGUAGAACUUUAUUUAAAAAAGAGUACCUUUGGUUACUCUUUUAUACUGUAAAAAAGCUUUAUAUAGUUCUGGUAUCUUGGAUAUCUCGUCUCCUGUUAUCGUAUAUACGGUACUUAACAGUCCAUAGUUGUAGCAAGUUGCUACUAAGUUUGGAUUAGUUCCUGGUUGUGCAUUUAAUUUAGUAUAUCAUUGUAAAUGCUGGGUUAUGUAGUCUUCAUCGGGUUUUUUCGUAUUUUUAGCUUUAGGGUUCUGGUUGAGAAAAGUCUGUACUUUGUAUAUAUUUUCUAUAUAUGUUCUGGAGAUAUAAUUGUAUGUUUGUUUUUGGGAAUCUAACUGGCUUUGUAGGUAUUUGUUUGUGGGGUGACAGACAUAUCUUUUUGGGUACUUUGAGGAGUAUAUGGUUUUGAUAAUAACUUAUUCAAGUUUGUAUUUGUGUAUUUUACCUUAGUCUCCUCCUUUUUCGUAGGUUGUCCUGAUGUAGAUGUGCUGGUUGUAGCUGCAUUUGAACAAACGUUGUUAUGGGUUUUUUGGAGUUUCCCAACAUCUCCUUGUAGUUCCGCAUGUUUAUAGUCAUGCUGCUGACUUAGCUCCGCAUAUUUUGAGUCAUGCUGCUGACUAUUCGCUUUUUCUUUCAGACUUUGUACUUCCAUUUCUAUCUUUUCCAUCUUUUGGCAUAGAUUUGUCAUCAUGGCCAAUAUAUCUUUUAGUGUAUCUUUCUCUUGAGAGAUAGUCUGCAAUGAGAUUCUCGUCAGUUUUAAUUAUCUCAAUUGUAAAUAUAAAAUUCAAUAUAUUUAAUACUAAUCUUCUUAUUUCUUUUGUUGUAACUGAAUCAUCUACCUUUUUAGUUAUCAACCAUUUUACCUGUGUGUUAUCUGUUCUUACGAUAAAUUUAUUGUAAACAAUAUAUUGUUCGAAUGCUAAUAAACAUCUAAUAAUGCAAAUAAUUUCUUUCUAUUUAUCUCCCAUUUCGUUUGUGCUUCAGUAUAUGUUCCUGAGUAAUACCUGCAAUGAUGUUCUAUCUUUUCUUUGUUAUAUUUAUAUUUUAGUACUCCUCCGUAACUGUGAUCACUUGAAUCUGUUUCAACUAUAUAUGUAAAUGCUUUACUUUCAUCAGGAAAGUAUAGUUUUGGUAAUUUUUUACAUAAUUUUUUAAUAUUUUUUUUAUGUGUUCUUUAUCUUUUUCGUCAAAAUAGUAUUCAACAUCCUUUUUAAGUUUUUUAUGUAGUGGUUUUAAAUGUUCUGCUAAUUUUGGUAUAUAUUCUCUUACUUGAUUUACUAAUCCUAGAAAUGAUUGUAAUUUCUUGGUUUAUUUUUUGACUACCUUUUAUCCAUUUCAUAGAUUUUCGUUGUUUAUUUUUUACUCUUUUUGCUCCUAUUUUAUAGCCACAUGGCGUAGUAAGCCACCAGUGUGUUUUUGUUAUUAUAUGUGGGUAAAAUAUUUCUAGAAAUGGCAUUCCUAGCAACAUAUCUUUUGUUGUGAACUCAAAAUUAUAGAUUUAUUCUAUUAUUAAUAUUUUAUCCCAUAUUUGUAUUUUUAUAUUUUUUUGCUUUAUAUUUAAUCAUACUUCCUUCAUUAUUAAAUCUUGUUACUACUAUUGGUGUUUUUAAUUUUUCCCAUUUAUCUUCUGGUAAACAAUUAUGUUUACAUAUAUUUGCUUCUGCUCCUGUAUCUAUCAUAGGGGUAUAAUAUCUGUUGUGAUAUCCUUCUAUGAUAAUUUUUGCGAGUAUAUAUAUUUUCAUUAUUCAUUUUGUUCUUUUUAUGAUUAUUUUCUUAUUUUGACAUGUUAUUGUUAAUUGUUCGUUUUCUAUAUUAUAUGGUUUAACUUUCUCUAGUCAUUUUAUUCCUAACGUGAUAUUAUGGUUUCCUUGGUAUAUCUUAAAUUGUAUUUUUAAUGGAAUUCCUCCUAUAAUUAUUUCUUUUUCUGUUGUUUCUUCAUAUGUAUUUACUAUUUCACUAGUUAAUCCAGGGCAUAUGUGUCCUGUUUUUUUAAUUUCUUCUUCUAAUACUAACUCUCUUGUUAUAUGAUUUUCUUCUUGUCCUGUGUUUAUCAAGAUUUUAUAUUUUCUUUGGUCCAUUGUUCCCGUUAUAAAAUAAUGAUAUGGCGUCGUUUCUUCUAAUAAAAUUUGUGGUAUUUCAUAUUUUCUUUUAGAUGUACUCAUCCUUGAUGAGGUAGCUCUAGUCAACAUAUUUAAUGUGCUUGUAUUUGGUGUACUUGAGGUGCUUAAUCUUUCGUUUACUAUUUCCAAAUCUCCUUCUAUAUCAAUUUCUUUAUAGCUAUAGUCAUUAUUAUCUAUUACAGUAAUUAUUUUUUCAAAAGAAUUUUCUAUUUUUAUCUUAUCAAUUUUAUUUCUUGCUGUUAUUUUAUGUUUUGCUGUUAAUAUAUAUAGAUUUUUACAUCUUGCUGUGAAUACCUUACUUCCUGGUGUUAACUCUAUUCCUGACAUUUUCAAAUAUAAUACUAAUGAUUUAUCUAUAUUUGUAUCUGUUAAUGCUACUGUAUAAUUAGCACUUAUUAUAAAUUUAAAUUUUUGGUAUAUUAAAUUUCCUUUAACUGCACUUAUAACACUUUUUUCUAUAGGGUGUAUUAUUCUGUCAUUUGCUAAAUAUAUUUCAAUGGGUGUAUCUAUUCCUUCUCUGAAACAAGCUUUUAUUAGUAUUUCUGUUCCUCCUAAAUGUACAUAUUUUAUAGCUGCUUUAUUUUUUAUGUCUUGUAUUUCUUUAUUUAUUAUUCGUUUGCUUAUUAUAGGUAUAUAUGCUUUUUCGCUUGUAUAUUUACAGUCUAUGACGUGUUCUUUUUGACUAACUACAUAGUAUUCUUCUUUUUGUCUUUUAAACCAGUUUUUUAAUGUAGGUAUUUCAAGUAUCUUUUCAACACUUAAAUCUAAUUCUUUCCCUUUUAUUUGUUCAAAAACUGUAUUAUCAAAUAUAAUCUUUUGGUGUGAUAAUUCUUCAAUUUCAUAAUUUUCUUUAGAUAUUAUUUCGUUUUCAGACAUUAUAUUUCUUCUUCUAUUUUAUUAUCUAAAUUUUCUUCUUCAUUUUCAGUUUCUAUAUCUGAUACUUCAUAUAUGUUGUCGUUAUCACUUAAUUCAUAGUCUAUGUAUUCUAUUUGCAUAUAUUUUUCAUUGUCUAUGAUUAAUUCUGCUAUUUGUUUUCUUUUUGGAUCUUUUGGUAAUUUACAAUCCUUAGCUAUGUGUCCUAUCUUUCCGCCAUUGUAACAAGUACAUUGGGAUAUUUUCCUCUUUGGUUUAUAUGGUCUUUUUAUUUUAUAAUUUUUUAUAUAAUACCUUCGUCUUGGUUGUUUAUAUUUAUACUUUAGUUUUAUUUUUUCUAUAAUUUUUAUAUCUUUUGGAUUUUUGUUUUUUAUUUGUACAUCCAAAUUGUGGUGCCAUUCUAUUUUUGCAACAUGCUAAAUUUUUAUUUAGUACUUUUUCCAUUUUUAAUUUUUCUUUUUGGCUUUCACAUAAUUGUGUAAACCAUUGAGAUAGGAAUUUUAUUCUAGCUCCUAAGGUAUCUACUAAUCCUUCAUCAUUCCAAUCUUUUAUUACUUUUGUACUAAAUGGCUCUGGUAAUUUCGUAAAAUAUUAUUUUCUUAUUUCUUUUGCUUCAUCAAAAUUGUAUUUUGCUUCGUAAUAAUAUUCUCUAAAUGCACAAGUGUAUUCUUCUAUAUAACACAUUUUACAUAUAGCUAAUUUUGUCAUAAGUUGUUUAUUUAUUAUUUUUUCUCUGUUUUGUUCUCUUAUAUCUGUAGUCAUACCUCCAAAUUCAUUUCUUAUUGGUGAUUCAUAUUUAUCUAGUAUAUCUAUAUUUGUUGCUGAUGGAGAUCCAUCUAUUUUCUUGUCACUUCUAAGUACUUCUAAACUUUCUGAAGGUAGAUUUUCUAUCCAUAAUCUUGUUGUUCCUACGAAUGUUCUUUCUAUGUAUCUAGGUGUUUUUGUUGUUUCUAUUUUGUUAUCUAUUAGUUGCUUAGAUAUAUUUCAUAUCCACAUUAAUAUUGCUUUAUUUAUGUCUGUAACACAAUCUAGAUCUAAAAAAUUAUAUUGUUCAUUUAUUGGUUUUGGUGUCCAAUUCUUAUUUAAUCUACUGUUCCAUAUUAUGUUAGUUCUAUCUGAUUGCUGAUAACUUUCUGUAUAAUAAGUUGGUGGUGUCCAUCUAGGACUGCUCUAGGACUAUUUUUGGGACUACUAUCUAGGGUUUUGACUCUUGACAUACUGGGUCUAUUCAUAUCUCCUGUGUUUAUUUCUAAUUUUUUUAGUUUAUUUACCUGUUCUAAAAUUUCUGUAUACGUCUCACUUAUGUCAACUAUUUCUGAUUUUUGGUCAUUUUCAUUUUCAUCUAUUUCAUUUACUUCAUUUACCUCAAGAUCUUCAUUUAAUUUUUGUUCCAUUUUGUUUAUUUUAUUUGUUAAUUCUUUUUCUUUUUCUAUCUGUUUUUCUUUUUGCUUAUUUUCAUAUAACAAUUUUAAUCUUGCUAAUUUUUUUCUUGUUCAUUUAUUCUUGUAUUUUUUAUUUCCUCUAAAUGUUGUACUUCUUGUUUUGCUUCUACUUUUAUUUUUUCUAUUUCUCUUGAUUUGUCUAUUUCUUCAUUUUCUUUUGUUAUUCUUAUCAUGGCUGUUAAACUAUCUUCUAAUCUUGCUAUUUCUUUUUCUAACAUUAAAUAUAGGUUAUUUCCUAUUUUCUUAUAUCUUCUUCCUAAAUUUGAAAAUAUUAUUUUUAUUAUCAUUCCGUCUUGAUUUUCAUAUGUCUUUUCGUCUACUGCAAAUUCUUCUUUGUUCAUUAUAAUUUAUGUGUUAUAUUAUGUUGUAACUUAUAUUCAAGACAAUCUAAUUAUAGUUCUAGCAUAAAUAUAACUUUUCUUUGUGCUAGUAUUGAUUUAUUACAUACUCCUGCUAAAAUAUUUUCUUCUAGUCUUCUUUUUCUAUGUUGUAAUUCUUGUUCUUUUUCAGCUAUUUUUUCUAUCAAUUGUUGUUUAUAUUUUUCUUUAUUUAUAUUGUUUUUUCAAAUAACAAACAUAUUUAUAUUCCGUUUUUGAAAUUAUAUUUAUUAAAUGAUCUUUUUUAUUGUUACUUGUUUUGAUAAGUUGUGAUAGUUCAUAUUCUAUAUAUAAAGGUUUAAAUUCUUUCCAUAUCUUUCAUACCUUUUUAUCUAUCUUGGUUUUUGUUGUUUUAGUUUCUUUGCUUGGUGCUGUAUUAUUCUUCAUAAAAUGUUUUUCUAUAAUAUUCCUUUUUAAGUAGAUCUAAUCGUUGUAUUUCAUUAGCAUUGUUUAUAAUAUAUUCUAGAUGUUCAACUUCUCGAGUUCUUAAAUAAUCGAAUAAAUUUUCAAUUAGUAAUUUUUCAAGUAGAUCUAUGUUUUCUAUGGUUUUUACCCAAUAUUUUAAGUAUUCGUAAUUUAUCAUUAAUCUGUAAAUAUAUCUAGAUCAUCAUAUAAAGUAUACAUAUCAUAGUAAAGUUCAUCUUGUAUACUCUGUAUGCUUAACUCAGUCCAACCUUGGGUUGUUAUUUCUAUUAUUUUAUAUGUUACCAAUUUGUCAUAAAUUUCUCUUUUUAUAUCAGUACUAAGAUUUUUUAGUAUAUAGAGUAGUGAUAUCUUAUAAUCAUCAUCAUCAUCUAUUAAAUAAGUAUUCAUCUUAUUCACUUUGACUAAAAGUUUUAUUCCUUCCGACCUCUUAAUGGAUUAUACUUAUCUAUUUUGAAAUAAUAAUGAUUUAAUAAUCAUCUCGUCUAGUCACUACUACAUCUUUCUUCUUUGAUUAGUUAUCCUAACAGCGCCUCAACUUUGUUUACUCCCCUAAACGCCCUUCUUUCCUACCGGUUUCAACUUUAGGAUGACAUAGUCUAGGCAUACUUAUUCGAAGAAUAUUUCUGUAGCAAACCUUCUAAAGAUGUUUAUUAUAACAUUAUUAAGUCAUGAUGAACAAUUAUAAUCAACAAGAGAUUUUCAGGAAUAAAUCUAUUUAGCUACACAUAAAUUUAAGAGUGUAUACCUGUUUUUGUAGAUCUGUAGCUCCAGGUUCUUCCAUAAUUAUUAAUUUAAUUAGCUAGCUCUGAUACCAAUUUUGGGGUGGAAGCGAUUAUUGUAAGAGAGAGAGUGGGAAGAAGUUGGAUUAUUUAUUUAUGAGGGAAAGCCCUCUUGUUGAGUCUCUCUUUACUAGUAUAUGAUAUGAAUAGUAUAAAACCACAAAAAUAUAUUACUCUUUCAAAAGAAUUGUAUUCUUUAAUGAAAUAGAGUCACUUAAAAUGUUUGAUUUUUCAUGAAAAGAUAUGUCUAUGGUAUAGAAUGAACAUUGGUGAAAAUAAUUUGUUAUGUUUGUAUUGUAAAACAAAUAUUUCGGUCAUAUUGUCUUUAUUGGACCUAAAAGACUAUGUUCACGAGUUAUUCUAUAACACUAAAAAAAAUAGUGUUUAGCGACGAACACAAUCCGUCACUAUAUGAUGAAAUCCGUCACUAAUCACGAUUAGCGACGAAUUAGCAACGGAAUAUUGAUUGUUGCUAUUAUGCUCGUUAGUAAGCUCUUAGUGACGAAAAAUGUGUUCCGUCACAAGUUUAGCGACAUCCUAGUGACGAAUAACUUCCGUCGCCAUAUGUUAGCGACGGGCUUACUCGUCAUUAUAUUUAUAUAAUUUUAUUGCUAAUUUCAUAAUUCUAUGACAAAAAAUGAUGUUUCAUCUCAAUUUUAGCAACGUCGUAGUGAUGAAACAUUUUCGUCGCCACAUGUUAGCGACGGACUGAUUCGUCAUUAUAUUUAUAUAGUUUUGUUGCUAAUUUCAUAAUUCAUUUCGUUAUUUUGGAUAAAUUUGCAACAAAAUUUCCGUCACAAUAUAUUUUGUAACAACAUAUUAGGCCUUUUAAUAAUUCGUUGUUGAUCUGUCGCCAACAUUCUUUUUACAGCAACAACUCGCAAAAUUUGUUGCUAAAAGUUGUUCUUAUGCAGUGCUGAAAUAUAUUAAAUUAAAAAUACUAAAUACUCUAAAAUUAACAAACAUUCAUAUAAUAUAAUAACCAUGGAUGAUUCAUAAUAUAUAAAUAGAAAACUCUAAAACAACAUAUUUCUGGUUUAAAAUAUCCAAAGAAAACUAUCAAGUACUCUUACAUGAACCUAUGUUCAUGAAAAUAUUACUAUGCGCAAUUUCUAGUUUCCAAAAAGUAUGACAUUAUCAAAAACUGAAGUUGUGGAGGUAUCAACUUGAAAUUGAGGUAUCAACCUCGUCCACAUUACUAGCAGGAGGCAUGGGCGUCGCAGACGAUGGAUUGCCGAAUGGAGUAAUCGAUAUUUGUACCUGCUCAAUAAUAAUAGGAACAAGAUGACUAGUUAGUGCAGACAUUAUUUUCUUUACAAACUCUUCCAUAUUUGUUUUCGAUGUUGAUUGAGAAAAUGGAUGUGGUAAUGAUGAUGACCCACAAAGUUUCUUCCCAUAGUAUUUUUUUGCUUCAGAUCCAAGACCGUAUAUUCUUCUUUUCUUUUCUCCUCCCGCAGCUUGGUAAUAUGCUUCAUAUUGAUCAAUAUCAGUUUCAGAUAAUGUUUUUCCCUUUAAUAUUUCUUCAUAUUUUCCUAUAAUAAGUAGAGAAAAUGAGAAAAUAUUAAUGAUAUGGGACAAACCAAAUUUUGAAGUAAAAUGGAGAAAAUACACAAACUCAUGCUCAGUACAGAGUAGAGAGUGGCAGAGACACUAAGAAUAAAGAUGUCCCUUUCAAAUAAGUUUGGUACUAUUCCAUAUGAUUCUUUAAAACAUAUCAGCUGCUCUUUACAAAGAUAAAGUAGUAUAUGUGAGUGAAGGAUGAGGCAUCCCUUUUAAACUGAGCAAACUGAUAGAAAUAAAAUACUUCACAAGUUGACUUCUCUACUUCUACGAGGAAAAUGGAAUUCAUAGAUGUGUACACCAUUUGUCUAGAAUUUGGCAUACUCUCUAAUAGAACUUAUCAAUACCAUCAAAUCAAAUCAUGUACUUGACGAAAAAUGCACCACUAUCUAGUGUACCAGUUGUUGUGUCUGUGGUAAUAAACAGUGGGUAGCCAAGUAAUUGGUAAAAGCAUCCACCCAAGAGAAGAUCAUGUCAAGAUGAGCUAUCUCUUAUUACAAAUGUGUCAAGUAGAAGUGCAAUAGUUUUAAGCAUGAGUUUGUGUUUUUAGCAACAUAUAAUUAUACCCACACCAGCAAAAGUAGUUCCCCAGAGUAUUAGCAUUAUGAAACAAUGGAGUUUGGACUCUUUGCUACACCCACAUGGUCAAUAAUUAUAUGCUAACUGGGACUUGUGCCACAUAGACAAUGACAACUAACUAUUCAGGAAAAUCCCCCUCCCCAACUCCCCACCAUAACACGUGCUCAGUUCAUCAGUGAUUGACUUUUGGAAGCUAGCUCGAGUCAAGUACCUUUCAAUAUGAUACAUCAAGCUUGUAUGAUAUAUUAUACUGGAGAGUACUUGAUCGAGGUUACAUUACACUGAAACAGCAACAACAAAUUCUCACUAAAAUAAGCCUAGAAUCACAGUAAAACAACUAUUGAUUGGUCUAUGUAGAUAUAUGACUGUCACAUGGGAAUUCACAACCAAAUAUGUCUCUUUGUUCCAAUCAUCGUGCUGCACUAGAGUCGCAGUAAAACAACACUAGAAUCGCACCAAAACAACACUAAAAUUGCAGCAAAAAAGCCUCAAAACAGUGGCAGUAGUUUCUCUCUAAAUCGACAUUGGAAUUGCAUCGAAAAGUCUCAAAACAUCAUUAGAACUAUACCAAACAGCAGCAACAAAUACACUUUAAAACAGGAAAAAAUUGCACCAUAAACUCCAGUAGGAAAGAAUCGAAACACCACCAAGUUUUAGACUUACAUGGAUAUCGCGAGAACGCUCACCAACAAAUGAUUUUCCAUCAUGUCCAUGUGUAUAAACAUGUAGAUGUAACUCACUUGACUUGGGAUCUCGGCCUUUUUCAAUAGCCUAUACAAAAGAAAUUGUCUUAUAUAUAUCAUAUAAGAGAAGAUGUUAGUUAUAGAGUUUGUAGAAUAUAUAUACUCAAAAGUUUCUUGCGAUCUUCUCCGAUAGAAAUAGAGCCAUCAGUGUGAGUCCUAAUAGCAGCUUUACGGCCCCCAUGACGAUUUUGCGAAUUAAUUUCUGGUUUCCUAAUAACUCUGCACUUCUCCAAAGCUCCAUCCAUCUUUCUCACACAUCUUCUGGUACAUAACUUGGCCUAACUCCUCCUUUUUUUAUUUAGAAAUGAAAUUCCUAUAGUUCAAUGUUGCCUUAACCAUCCAGUGUGUUUUGACUUUGUUUUAACUAAUGGAAACAUUCCAGCAAAAUCUUUUUGAAAUAAGAUUUGAAAGUAGUACAUUAAAGUCCUAUCUAUAUAUGUGAAUACACUUGCAAAAAUCACUUACGAUGAAAACUUCUACCCUAAAUUCUCCAAAAUAAUCAUUUCUUACAUCAUUUGAGACAACUUUCCAAUUGAUUCCAUUGGGAUCAACCUCACUUUUGAAAGAUUUGGACAUGAAACUAAUGCAUAUUUGAUAAGGUUCUAGUCUGUAUAAAUUAGAAGAGGUUAUUAGGAGGGCUAUCAUAAAUCAAAAUUCAAAGACAGCAAAUGGCAUCAACACAACAAGUAGUAAUAAAAUUAAAAGAAUGGACUAGCCCUGCAUAAGUUAGAAAGACUAGGGUCCUUAGAUGGCUACUGUUGGAUUCACCUUCAGCAAUUGUAUUUGUAUGACCUAUUGGAACAUUGCUAUGGGUAGAAAGACCUUGACCUAUUAGGUUAUUGUCAUUUGGUGUAGCUGGAGGUGUCUCGAAGAUGGUUGGGCUAAUACUUUGAGUUGACAUUUCAAUAUUGGUCCGGGUACCACCUUGUUGAGGAGAAACUGUUGUGGGCUUGGAAAUAGUUGACAUGUUUAUACGAAAAGCAGGAUUAUUCUUACCUGAGGAUUUUCCACGACCUCUGCCUCCAGCCAUACCUAUAAACAAAAAAACCAUUGUUGUUAGAUAAUGAAAUUACAUAAAACAAUAAUGGUGAAAUAUAAAAAUUAUCUCUGUAAUUAAGAGCUUAUUGAUCAAGUGAAAAAAAUUAGUACUUUGAUAUACAAGAGUAACUAUCUAAAAAAAAGUAACAACAACGAAGGGAUCAUGAACUUCUAUCAGAAGCUUUACACAAAGAAUGUGCUUUUGAUAAGGCUCCAGAACAUUGUUGUGGGUAGAAAGACCCUAACAUGUUCGGUUACUCUCAUUUGUUGUAGCUUGAGGUGUCUCAGAGAUGGUUGAGCUAAUACUUUGAGUUGACGUUACAAUACUGGUCAACGUACCACCUUUUCGAGGAGAAACUCUAGUGGGGUUGGGAACAGUUGAUCUGCUUACACGAACAACAUGAUUACUCCUACCUGAGGAUUUUCCACGACCUCUGCCUCAAGCCAUAUCUAUAAACAAAUAUAACAUUGUUGUAAGAUAAUCUGGAACAAAGAUGAAAUAUGAAAACUCUCUGGAAAAGCUUGUUGAUAUGAAAUUUAUCAUGUGCUUCUGAUAAGUCUACAGAACCUGAUGGUUACACAAUUAUUGUCAAGUUAUGUCAUUCAAUUCAAAGAAAUGAUAAAAAAAUUUAUGUUACAAUAAGUCUCCCAAAGAUUUAAUUAGGAAUUGAAAUAAGAAACAGAACACAAGUAGUUCAAAGACAAGAGCUAUUUCUUUUUAGAACCUAAACUGAAAAUUAGUAACAAGCACAAACUCUGGACCAAAAGGCACUCUCAUUCAUAUUCAUCAAAUAAGAACAAAACAUGCAUCUCGACAAAACAAAAACAAUUUCUAAAGUUCGUCACUAGGCAGACUUAGUCCCACAAAAUUUAUGACAAAUAAAAGGUAUUGAAGCAUUAAAUUUGAUUUACAGUACAAACAAACACUUUUCAGUGUGUGAGAAACUAGAGCAAGAAAAGAAUUUGGAGUCAAUACUACAUUUCAUCAUCAACAAACAGAAGCACAUUACAUGAAAAACUUUCCACUGAACAUUAGUAAUUGUAUUAUCAAAUGAAAGCAGACAGAAUUUCAUACAUCUAAAAUGCUUAACUGAUGAAACAAUGAAAAAUUAAUAUUCACUAAAUCAGAAGCUAAAAUGCUCUUGAAGCCAUUUCGCUGAAUCUAGAAAGAAGUUACUCUAUUGUAUACUUAAUAGCUUAGUAGCUAUUAAGUAUAAUAAAUAAAUAAGAGAUGAGGAACGAAAGGAUAACUAUUAGCUUCCAAAUAAAAUUUUAGCAGAUAGAAAUAUGAAUUCGAUUCAUAGAAUGAUCAGGGGAUCUGAAAACAAUCUACUGACGUACAUCAACAAAAAAAACAUUCACCUUAAUUAGUUAACUUCAAGAUUAUAUCCUUAUUUUGAAAAGAAAGCAUCAUUAACAAUAGCAAAACUGAAUGUAAAGCAUAGGCUUACAGAUAAUGAAACGAAGAACAUAGAUUCUACAACAUAGCGAAGAUUAGUCACCGAAAAAGGAUUCAAACAAAAAGGAACAAAUAAGCGUCAAUACUAAAUUUUAAACAAUAAAAGUCAACUUUCACAUUAAUAUGAAUCAAGGAAAUCUAUUUAGAACACAUGUGUAGCAAAUUCAAGUCAUCGGUUCUCAUCUACAAACAACAGUGUUACAACAACAAACUAGCGAGGCAUAUCAUGAAUAGUAGAAAACAAGAAGAAGAUUACGGAGAAAACGUUACCUUUCUCCAUGCAGUGACUAGACAGUGAAAAGCUUAGAGACUUUUGUCACUGUUAUUUCGAGAUAUCGAGAAUUCGUCAAGCAAAGUAGAAGCAAGCAAGGUUAAAGUCUAAAAAAAUUGGAAAAAUAUUCAAAAUAAGAAAUUAGAGCGAAGUAGAAGCAAGCAACACUAACGAAAGAAAGUAAAAUAUCAAACACAAUAGUUAACUCAAUCCUUUCAACACUAAAAUAAAAGACACAAGGAAAACACAUACAUUUCAUCGAAAUCGUGAUAAAAUUUUAUAGCUAUCACAUAACACCUUUAGAAAAAAAUGUAGCAAACAACUAGUGUUGAAGCUUCUACUAACAAUUUCAUACAUAAGAAGAGACUAAGAACAAUAGAAAAUAUCUUCUUUUGUUAAUGAUUGUAGAAGCUAAUUUAAGCCAUUAAAACGCCUCAUUCUCAUCUCAUAUCUCAUUGUGAAUUCUAAAGUAGAUAGAGCACACACUUUUUUCUUAAAACAUCAUUGAGAUAUGUAUCCAUCAUUAAAAUCUAAUUGCUAAAUCAUGUCAAUGCCUAUUUAUCCUUUUUAGAUUCUCUUUUUCUAUCAACUUUUAGCAAGUUAUAGCUAUAAGAUUUACUAAGCUAGCUGCAAUGCAAAAAAAAAUAACAACUAAAUACAAGAAUCUUAUAAUGUCUAUAUCAAUAGCAAGUAACAUUUUAUUUUUGAAACACUAUUUACAAGCUUUUGGUGGUGAAGAAGAAGAAGAAGAAGAACUUCCAUCAGAAGUGAGUUUACUGGCGAUUUUUCAUUGUGUUAGAGUGAGUUCAGUAGAAAAUGUGGUUGAUCAAUAUGCCUAACAUCAUGUAUCCACGAAAAUUUACAAAAGACUUAUGGAAUUCCUUGAUAACCCCAUCCCGUUUCCCCAGCCAUUUUUCACCAAAUAGAAGUCAACACCCUCCUCUUCACCGCACUAGAAGCUCACCGAACAUAUGAAAAAAGAGAAAUUACCAAAGGUAGAAGCUCACCUUUCACCUGAGGAUGAAGGAGACAGGAGAAAUUUCACCGUGAACCUAAGACGGGAACAAUUUCACCUCAGAAGGUAGCAAUCGAAACGAGAGGGAGACAGGAGAAAUUGAAAAGAAAAGGAGACAGGAGCAAUCGAAUUAUUACCUCUCAUUGAGCUGUUGCGCUGCUCUUGUGACGUUUCACUGAGAUAAUACCCUAUUUUUUAGGGAUUGUAAUUUUUGUUUCCUUUUUGUUUUUCAAUGGACUGAUGAAUUGGAAAAAAUUAUUGCAACGAACUUAGCGAUGGAUAAAUAAAUAUAAUUAUUUACAUUAAUUUUCAGAGAUGGAUAUUUCCGUCACUACGUAAUUUAAAUUCCAUAAAAAUAUAUUUAGAUUCUAGCAACGCUUGUCUGUCCCUACUUCCGUCACAAUAUAUUAUUAAAUUUGUAAUACCUAUUUUGUUGCAAAAUCUAUAGCGAAAUUUAAGGCGCCAAAGUUUCCCGCUAUUAUUUCACGACAAAAAACAUAAUUUGUCGCCAAUCUGUUGCUAUAUUAUAACUCAAAAGAAUAUUUGUAAAUUUUGCAACGAAAUGACUACUUCGUUGCUAAUCCAUUGUUAUAUAGUGACGAAAUUGAUUCCGUCGCUAAACAUUGUUCUUUUUGUAUUGUAACAAAUUGAAUGUUAUGGAAAGGUCCUUCUGCAAAAGACAUCUGGCAAGGUGUUGACUCUAAAACAAUGUUUGUAUUUGACAAAGUUAUAACAAUGAAAGAACAAAAUAUUUGUGGGAAAUGUUACCUCAUGGAAGGUCUUUUCAAACAAGUAUUUUUGUUUGUUCUUUCUUGCUUGAAUUAAAUUGUUUGUGACAUGAACAUUUGGGAAAUGUCAAUUACAAAACCUUGCAAAAACUAAUCAACUUAGAAGUUUUGUCUAACUCCUAGUGCAAUAAAUCAAAAUGUCAAGUAUGUUUUAUUACUUUAACCCUUAGAAUUGAUUUACACUUACAUUUUUUAGGUAAAGUCAAGAUCAUCUCGUGGUGGAAAAAAUGUUUCAUAAAUUUUAUUGAUAAUUGCACUAGAUAUUGUUAUGUCUAGUUGCUGAAUAAUAAGGAUGAAGCAAGAGAAACAUAAGCAAUAUAAAACUGAAGUUGAAAAUUAAUUAGAUAAAAAGAUUGUCAUGAUUAGAAGUGGUAGGUGUUGAGAAUAUAAAUCUUCUUUUGCAGAAAUAUAUUUGCAGAAUGAAAUCAUUCAUCAAAUUAAUAGACAUACUCACCUCAAUCUAAUGAAAUUAUUGACAGAAAAAAAAUAUGAACUUUAAAGGAAAUAUUGAAUAUCCUACUAACGAGUUCAGGUUUACCAAAAAAUUUGUGGGGGAUUCUAUAUCAUUAUAGCAAAAGAGAAUAACAAAAAGUUUGUAUGUUUAGAAAGAGAGAAACAAAAAAGAGUAACAAAUAAAAAAUUUUAUUUGUUAAGAAAGGGAGCAACAACAAGUUGUGUUUGUUCAGGCUUUAUUAUAUCCUGAUAGAGAAUUGCUUGUUGCCCUUAAAGUAUAUACAAUCAAUAACACCCUUGAAAGAUAGUGAUCUAACCAUUUCCAAUACAGUCUAUUCCAUAUGAGAAAUGAAAAUGAGGGAACUAUUUUCAAACAAGUCAAAAUAGGACCUAUGACUGUGGAUUGUAUGUUCAUUGAAUAUGCUACAAUGAGUAAAGCAUAUUAAUUUAUGGUUCAUAAGUCCGAAAUGUCAGAUUGUCAAGUAAAGGGUCUAAACGUCCUUGGAUAAAAUCAAAAGAGAAUGCACUUAAUAAAGAGAUUCAGAGGCGUAGUAAAUGUCAAUGGACAAAUUAUUUCCUCCGAAUUAGAUUUGUAAUAUUUCUUCUUGAAAAUGAGUUCAUACAGUCAAACAAGAUUUGUCUUGUGCGGAGUCAUUCUUUUUGAAAAUAGGUUGUCAAUAGUAGGAUAAAUUCAAUUUUUAUCAACCAACUUGAGAAUUGGUUUCUUUCUCCAAGAAAUAAACAUUUGGGUUCAAAGUGGACCUACAAAAGGAAAAGAAAGUUGGUGAAAUGUUAACUAUUGACAAAUAUAAAGAAAGAUUUGUUGUCAUAUGUUUGGACAAUAAAAAAGUCUUGAUUAUUUUGAUACAAAAUUGCCACUAACUAGGAUUACAUCAAUUCAAAUGUUAGUUGCGCUAGUUGCAUUAUAUGGCCUUCAAAUUCUUCAAAGUAGAUGUGAAAAUAUUUAUUAAAAAAAUAAAAAAUUGGAGGAAAAAAAUUACAUGGAACAACCUGAGGGAUUUGUAGUUCGUGGUAAAAAAAUGUUUGUAAACUUGUUAAGUCACUUUGUGCAUGCGCCCAAAUAAUGACAUGUGAAUAUUGACCAAACUAUGUUGGUAAAAGAAUUCAAAUUAGUGAAUGUGAUUAAUGUUUUUACAUUAAAGACACUUCGAAUCACAAGGUCAUUAUUUAUUUUUAUGUUAACAACAUGUUGAUCAACAAAAGAGACAUUUCUGACAUAAAUGCUACUAAGCAUGUGCUAGAAAGUAAAUUCGAUAUGAAAGAUAUUGAAAUUAGUGAUGUGAUUAAAAAAGUACUUGACAAGUUCAAGUACUUGGAUUUCAAUAUUGUCAAGACUCCAAUAGUGUGAGCAAUAUACUUCAAAAGAAUGAAGGCAAAAGUGACUCACAAUUGGAUUAUACCAGAGUAUUGAAAAGUAUGAUAUAUAUAUAUAUAAAGUGUACGCGAUCAGAUAUCUGUAGCAUUAUCAGUAAACUGAGUUGGUUCACAAAUAAUCUCACUCAAACUCAUUGGAUGACAAUGAAUCCAAUGAGUUUUGAAGAAUUUAAAACAUAGUUAAUACUAUUGUUUUGCAUUAUAACUAAUAUUCAACAAUAUUAAAAGAAAAUAGUGAUGCAAAUUGAAUCACAAGGUCAAAUAAAGUAAAAUUUACGAAUGAAUAUGCAUUUACUCUUGAUGAAGGAGUAGACUCUUGAAAAUCUUUCAAACAAAAGUGUAUGGCUCGCUCUACUAUAAAUCCGAGUUUAUCACUUUACAUAAAGCAGGUGAAGAAGUUGAAUGACUCCAAAAUUUCUUGAAAGAUUUUUUCCCCAAACCUUUAGCUCCUGUAUGCAUACACUGUGAGUGUUAAUUUACAAUAGGUAUGGCAUGGAAGAUGAAAGUAGGGGUGGAAGAUGAAGCAGAAUUUCAAAUGAAAUUGAAAUUAAAGUAACAAAAUUAAAAUAAGUCAAAUAGUAAGAGAGAGAAAUUUUAAAAAAAAUGAAAAAAAUAUAUAUUUCAAAUUAAAUUAACAAGUUUCACACAAUGAUUGGUGUGUGAUAACACUUGUGAUUUAAAAUUUGAAAUUGAUCGAGAAAUGAUGUAAUAAUAUAUGUUCGAAAUGUUAGGUUGUGGAGCCUGAUUGAUAUAUAUUACUGUUAGGUUGUGGAGCCUGCACUAUUUAUUCUUCAUUUAUACUCUGUAAUCAAAAAUACUCUGAUUUAUUAAUAUAUAUACCCCACCGCCGUGGAAGUUUACUCACGGGGUGUUACCACGAAAUAUUGGUUUCUCUCUUUCUCCCUCUAGAUCUCUCAUCUCUUUCUCUUGAAAAGUUCUCGUGUUCUUCAUUUAUCAAGUGUGUGUGCGUGAAUUCGAUCCUAACACGAAAUUGUUUAGGGAGAUAAUAGGACACAUGAAUAGUUAAGAUGUUUUUUUGAAAAUUCGAAAAAACUUCAGGUGUCACUUUAUGUCUUUUCUCUAUAAAAUAUUGAAUUUAAAAUGUAUUAUAACUAUUGUUUAUUUUUUCUCAUUUUAACGGUAUUAAAAUCUGUUAUUGUAUUAGAAAUAUAUUUUUGUAUUAAAACUAUUUAAGUUAUAUAUUCACAAUGUGCAUUGGAAAAUAAAUAUAAUAUGUGUAAUAUAUUGAAUUCAAAAUGUAUUAUAAGUAUAGUCUAUAUUUAUUUAUUUUAUUAAUAAUAUUUAUAUAUUUUUAAAAAUAAAUGUUAAUAUUCCAGCAGGGCUAAAUAUUUGGAAAGAUACAUACAUAAAUUUAAAGAAAGCGGUACUGGAAUAGCUCUUAACAACAUUACUAGACAGUAUUUGGAUCAAUGAGCUAUUUGUUGGACCAACACAUCUAGGGGUUUUGAAUUGGCUCACCGUGCCUCCUAAUCCAACGAAAUGAUCCAAUAUCUUAUGAAAGGUUCCCCUCUUCACAAUCCUCAGUUUAAGUGCUCCAAUUGCAUUCACUUUCCUGGAGCUCACGUAGCCUGCAUCCAGGAACGUUUUGUCCAGACAGUCGCAGCAUUCUUGCAAUAUUUCAUCAGUUGCUUCCCCACUCAGUUCCCAGGAGAUAACAUAGUGUCCUGGAUCAGCUGAGACGUUGACAUGACUGGUGAAGUCCAUCACUUCUAGUUUUUCGUCAACUAAGUGCUUGCUUGCAGCUUCCACGGCUAGUUGCAAAUCUUUCUCAGUGUUCUUGUCUAUGUUAAUGCUCAGUAAAAGGUUCCUCCAAUUGCUUAAACUUGAACAUUUGCUAUAAAUUGUUUCAGCCAAUUCUGGAUCAGGCUUCAACAAUUUUGACAUGACUAAUCUUAUGGAUGGUACAGUGACUCGGCUCGAUAAGACUGCCUCCCUUAUGUCAACAACAAGUUCUUCCCAUACUUGUUCGAAAGUUCGAAAAGCAUGGACAAUGCUAUGUGCAAACGUAGACGAAACAACUUGAACUUCAUCGCGGAAAAUGAGACCAGACAGAAGGUGACAGUAUAGAGAUUGUUGAAAAUCAGGAGCAAAUAUUACUUCACCAGGACUACAAACUGGGGUAGACCAAUCCUUCAUUAUCUUCUUGUAUUGUGGACUUGUAAACACAUUAGUAGUGCCUGUUGAAGCUGCCAAAACCCCCUUUAGUUUUAAACUGCUUGCUGCUGUAAAAAAAAUGCAUAGCCUUCCCUUUCUCUAUUGGAAAUUCUCUGAAAGAAAUGAACAGAACUAUUAUUAGGGAACUAUUUACCUUUUAAUAUGAUGUAUUUAUGACCAAAAAAAAACUAAAACAACUUCAUGAACUAACAAGAAAAUUACCUGUUCCUAAAGGCAAAAGAAGUCUUGAAUGUCUGCAUGGCGGAAUUCAUCAAUUCAUCAUUGAAAGGUACAAACUUUGGCUUCCCUUGAGUAGUACCAGAACUGCAAAUCAACCAUUAUAUUUCACAAGUGCAAAUCAACCAUUAUAUUUCCUCUUUGAACAUAACAAUAAUAUACAAUAUCCACUGCACUCUCACAAGUGGAAUCUAAGUAGAGUACAACGUACACAAACUUUAUCGCUCAGACCAUCUCCAACCCACCUCUAUUUUACUCUCCAAUCUCUAUUCUGAAGAGCAAAAUGAGCACUUCAACCCAGCUCUAAAUCAUCCUCUAUUCUCCAUUUAUGGAAAGGUGACUAUUCACAGUCUCUAAUUCAUUUUUCAUUAUUUUAUUAUUAUUUUCUGUUACUUUCUAAUUAACAUAUAUUUUACAUAUAAUUCCAAUAAAUAAAUAUUCAAUAUUUAUAAUUCUUGUUUAAAUGUAAUAUAAUAUUCAUAAAAGUAUUUUAAUGUAUACUACUUUAAUUUCAAAUUAAUAGUAAUUUGAUUUUUUCUAAUUUUCAUCACUAAUAAUAAAAAAGUUAUUAAUAGUUUUCAUUAUAAAUAAUAUACAAAAUUAGAAUGGCAAGGUCAAUAAUUUAAUUUAAAAAUACAAUACAUAGUAUGAUAAAUUAAAUAUAAGAUAACAACACAAUACAUAACAUAAUAAUUUAAAUACAAGAUAACAAUACAAUAUAAUACAUAACAUAAUAAUUUAAAUACUGAUAAAAAAUAAUACAUAACAUAAUAAUUAAUUGAUCACAACAAUAAUUUAGUAAUCCGGUAGAUCAUUUCCAGAUCUCGCACUAUUCAAAAAAUAUUUUCAGCCACACCACGCUUUGAUGAUGCAAUAUUUCGCUAUUGUUAUCGAAUGUACCACAAUUUAUUUCUUCGUAUCAUUAAUGCAAUUAAAGAUCACGAUACAUACUUCGAAAAACAAAUUUGUCUACUUUGCAAAAAAUCUUGCUAGCAGUAUUGUGCCUCCCACCCAUUAUGUUAUUCAAAGAAAAGAAUACAACAUGGGUUAUUACUUAACUGAUGAUGUAUAUACUAAAUCGUCUACAACUGUUCAAAUUAUUCGUGUUUCUCAUUCUCAAAAGAAGAAAUAUUUCGCGAUAAAAGAAGAAUCAUGUUGAAAAUAUAUUGAACGUGCAUUCGUAUUUUUGCAAUCACGUUUUACAAUUAUUAUAGGAGAGUCACGUUUUUGAAGAAAUGAAGUGUUAUAUGAUAAUAAUGACUACAUGCAUUAUACUGCACAACAUGAUAAUUAAGGAUAAACAUGAUCUCAAUGCACCAAUUCAAGAUGUUGUAGAGGCUCCAACCCCAACUAUAGAAAUGGUGAUAGAUGAAAAUCUCAGGCCUGAACAAUUUUUAACUAGACAUAAAAAAUAAAGGAUAAAAUUCUCAUUUUGAACCCUGUAAUGCAUUAAUAGAGCAUUUAUAGGAGACACAUACCGAUUUUGAAAAUUAAGUGUUUAUGUAAUUGUAUGUCACUUUUAUUUAAAUUUAUCCCCUAAUUUAUGUAUUACAUUAUAUUUUCUUACAGUUUAUGUUAUAUAAAAAUUUAGAAUAAAAUAUAAUUUUAUAUCACACUUAAAAUUAUAUAAAGUAAUUAUUUGAAAUAAAAUUAAAGGAUUAAUAUCAUAAAAUAAGAAAAUAAGAAUCAAAUAGAAAUAAUAAUAUAAUAUUUGAGCAGAGAGAAAAAAUUUUCUUUUUAGAGAGUAAAAUAAUGAAUUAGAUUGGAGUUGGUUGUGAGAAAAAAAUAGAGAACUCCAUAUUUAGAAAGUAAAAUAGAGGAUUGAGUUGGAAAUGCUCACAUUAGUUUCCGAUUGACAAUCAAUUCAAGGAAAAACACAUCAAAGCAAAUUGAAAAAGAUUAACUAUAGUGAAGGGAUCAUGACAUAAUACCGUAGAAAGCAUGAUAAUAACAGAAAUCGACAUACAAAAAACAUCAACCCAAAAAAAAGAAGAGAAUUUUUUGCUUACCUCAAGGAGAUGGCUUGAACGGGCUUUCCAGUAAGAAUAGGUGAAAUAUCACCAUCAACAAUUCUUUGAAUAUAAGGAUCAAAAUCACUGUGACUGACAAUGGGGACACAAGCCUUGAAAGUCUCAACAUCAGUUCUGCCAUUCAUACCCCAUUGCUUCAAAUACUCUGUUCCCCCAUUUUGCUGCAGAAUUUUCCCAAGUGUCUCUUCUUGAAUCCUCCCAGCAUUUUUUGUUAUCACCUCAAAAUCCUCAAUCACUUGUUCUGCAUCAAAUUUCUUCUCAAUAUUUUCCAUCAUCUUAGACUUCAACUUUAAGCAAUAACAGUCAAGUAAAAGCAGUCAAUAAUCCUCAAUUUGAGAAAUGAGGUUGGGCGAUUAAGAAGAAUUUAAGCAACUCUAAAGUUAUUACUGACUUCAAUGCAACUUACCUCAUAAAGGACAAUUUUUAAAAAAAUAGAAUUGCUAAGUGACAUGAAACUUUUUUGGCACCGAUGUGGCAUGACACUGCGAAAUGACAGAAUUAGCCUUUUGGAUGUUGGUUCCAAAACCACCUAAUUUUCUCCGAAAAAUAUAAGAAAUCACUUUUGACAUUUUUUUAAAAUUUAUUUUACUCUUUCAAUAUCUUUACUUUCUUUUUUACUUAAUUCAUUUUAUAUCUCAUUUUACAAAAUGUUUCUUAAUUUUUUAUGUUUGGUUGACUUAAAUAUUUUAGAAAAUAUUUCUCAAAUAAACUUAUUUUCCUCAAAUAAUAAUCUUUUCCUAACCUCACUUCCUUCUCCGACCCUCCCUAUUAAAAAUAAAAAAAUUAAUUUUUUUAAGAAAAUCAAUUUAUUUUGUUACUACACCCAAACUAGCCCCCUCCACACCCACACACCCGCACGAUGGUCUAUUAAAAGGGACAAAGAAGUUAGGUAAUUAGGUGAAAGUCAUUCGAGUUUUAGAUAUUGAGUAGAAGUGACAUAUAAAUAAAUAAUAUUAAUUAAAUUAAAAAGUUUUUUAAAAAGGCCCAAACUUUUAAAUUUUACACUUUGCACCUACAUUCUUUACCUUAAAAUAACUUUAUCAUAAUAGACCAGAAAGACGCUCUUUCUCAACUACAUCAACUUCCCACUGAUCCUCUUCAAAUGCACGUAUAUUUGUCAAUCCUGCUUUUUUCUUCUUCUUCCUCUUCUUCUUCUUCUUCUUCUUCAUCUUUCUUUUAUAGAGAAUAUCUAUCAAGAAAAAUUUAUGAAAAAGAAUAUCAAUAUAUAUAUAUAUAUAUAAAGAGCGCCAUUGAUAAGUAUGAAAAUCACUUUGUGUCCAUUCUUAAGUUGCGUUUUGUGAACCCAAAGUGAUUGUUUCAGUCAACAAUUUUCGUAUCGAAGUUGAUGUCCAAUAAUUGUCUUUAGUUGUAUGGUGAUAAUAGAAGUUGUCCCAACAACUAGUGCAGUUGUUCAACAAUUGUGUUCUAUUGUUGGUCAAUUGAAGAGUUCUAAUAAAAUCUAAAACUAUUAUCUUUUUUACUGUUGUUGAUAGUUAUGAAACAACGAAAUAAGUGUAAAAAUAAGUAUUAAUAUUCUUUAGCAAUUUCAAAGUUAAUUGAUGAAUGUCUCACUAGUUGAAAUAUUGUGUGAUGUCUUCAGGUAUUGUGUCCAUCUAUGGAACAUCAAAUAAUAAUAGCAAUUGAUUACAUUGUGAAUGGGUAGAGAUUCCUAUUCGUUACACUUGGCGAACAAAGGUUCGAGAAACAAUAACAAUAAAGAUAAGUGAGAAUGUUACAUAUAACGAGUUGAUUUCUAGGUUUGAGUUAAAUUGUGAUAAAGAAGAUCUCUCUAUUACUUAUAUGCUUGGCUUCAUUGAUAAGCAAAAAGGACCUCCUUCUAGGAUAACGGAUGAUCGUGAUUACGAUUUUUUUGGAUGAUCGAUGUAGGCUCAUUUUAAGAAUAUAUGUGGUUGAAAAGAUAACAGAGACAGCAAAUUCAGUUGCAAAUGAUGAAGAGCGUCAUAUUACUAUUGAUAUUCCUAUAAACGAGGACGUUUUUCUAUAUUUCAUACUAACAGGAGGCAGCCACAUGAAUGAUGAAGGCACGAGUUUUUAUAAAGGUUAAAUAUUCAAGAACAAGCGAGAAUUAACUAAGUUAUUGAAGCUUGCUUCUUUAAAGAAAUUAAAGAUCAAAGGCUCAAAUCAGUAAAGAGUUCUACAGAUGAAUAUUUUGCUAGAUGUGUAGAUCCAAAUUGUGAUUGGUGGUUGCAAGCAACAAAAAUUCAAUGUUGUAAUAGAUUUGAAAUUAAACAAUACCGUAAUAUUCACUCAUGUGGGGAACUACAUCUUACAAGUCAUCAUCCACAUGCUUUAGCAUAAGUCGUCGCAGAUACAUGCUACUUAAUUUCUUGAUAGUGUAGUUUCAUGACUUUUUGCCGUAUUUAUAACAUGUACUUAAUGAGAAAAUUAUUAGUUCAAACAACUUAUAUAGUUGUAUUUUAUUAACUUUUAAUUUUUAUCAAAAGCUUCUAAUUUUUGUAUCAACAAUUUUUAAUGUUGUCGGACAACUGUAACAGUUCAAGGGUCAAGUCCUCCAAACAACUGCAUUAGUUGUCCAACGAUAUUGAAGAGUUGUCCAACAAUAUUGGAGAGUUGUCUAACAACUUUGCACAGUUGUUUAAAGAUUGAUCUAGCCGUUUUGUAAAUUAUUAGGUAUAAACUAAGUCGUUUAAUAAUAAUUGAAGAUCGAUUUAGUCAUUUUGUAAACUAUUAUGAAUAAAGUAAGUCAUUUAAUAAUAACUAAAGAUCAAUUUAGUCGUUUUAAAACUAUUAAGUAUAAAGUAAGUCACUUAAUAAUAACUGAAGAUCGAUCUAGUCAUUUUGUAAAUUAUUACGUAUAAACUAAGUCAUUCAAUAAUAGUUAAAGAUCGAUUUAGUUGUUUUGUAAACUAUUAAGUAUAAGCUAAGUCGUUUAGUAAUAACUGAAGAUCAAUGUAGUCAUGUUGUAAAUUAUUAGGUAUAAACUAAGUGGUUUAAUAAUAGUUGAAGAUCGAUUUAGUCAUUUUGUAAACUAUUUAGUAUAAACUAAGUCAUUUAAUAAUAACUAAAGAUUGAUUUAGUCGUUUGUAAAUUAUAAGUAUAAACUAAGUUGUUUAAUAAUAACUGAAAAGUUGAUCUAGUUAUUUUGUAAAUUAUUAAGUAUAAACUAAGUCAUUUAAUAACAGUUGAAGAUAGAUUUAACCGCUUUGUAAACUAUUAAAUAUAAACUAAGUCGUUUAACCACAUCCGGGGAGCUCUCUUGAUCACUUCGAGCAUCUGGAGCAUACAAGUGAUUCUUCUUAGGAGCAUCCGGGUUUGGGCACUUGCUUGAACUUGAGAAUUUUCCCUUUCUUGAGACUUCAUCAUAGGGAAAUGUCUCUUCAUAUGACCACUCUUGCCACAACCAUAAAAAUUGCCCAUGCCAACUAGGCACUUACCAUCAUGUCUCUUGUCACAUUUUGCACAAAGAGGCUUCUCAACAUAAGAUCUUCCACCUUUCCCCUCUUGGGGCUUGGGAGAAGGCACCUUGCUCUUGAUGACCCUUGGUGCAAUAGAAUAGCGUUAAUUGGAAAACCUCUUUUUGACCUUGGUUUGUCUUGAACCUCAAAUUUUGUCUUCGAAGAAUUCCCAUCUUCGUUCUUACCUUCUUCAACUCCCUACCAACUUGCUUAAGAUUUUGCUCCUCAAUUUGUUCGGCAUGAACCAUGAGACGAGAGGUGUCCAUGCAAGGAAUAAACAAAGCCGACCUACAUUCAUUAACCACAAGAUCGGAUAUCCCCAUGAUAAAUUUGUUCAUCUUGACCCGAGAAUCCACAACCAUAGUAGGAAAAUGUUUUGAUAGUGUACUGAAUUUUAAGGCUAUACUCCUUCACGCUCAUACCCCCUUGACAAAGGUUGAUUAAUUCUUGAAUUCUCCUCUCCCUUAGUUCCAAGGAAAAGAACCUAUCAAGUAAAGUCAUUUUGAAAGCUCACCAAGUAAUCCGACCUUCUAUAACCAGCCUCUUAUACUUCCAUUGCUCAUACAAAACUUGAACCACGUGCACUCGUGGCUGAGAGUUUGGAGGUUUCUCAAAACCUAUUGCCGAAAAAAUAUUCCAAGGAUAAGAAGAGAGAAGGCAAAAUGUUUUUGUAUUCCCUUUAGUUGGAUGUCUUAUAAUGUUCACAAAGUUCAUGCUUAUAUAGGAUUUUCCAAAGAGGAGUUUCAAAGGGAAGAAUUAAUUUGUAUAACUUAUAUUAAAUGUUAAUGGCAUUAAAAGUCAUUACAUCACAUUCGAGAGAAACUCUUCUUUGUUUUGGAACGGAAGAAUUAAUUUCUUUGUAACAUAAUUUACUUUCUAUUCUUUGCAUUACAGAAAAAUUGAAAAAAUGUUGAAUUAAUAUCACAAUUCCCCACUAAUGAAAACAUAAAGAAUAAGAACAAGUUUUGGACAAAAGGAAGGAACAUGUACUUAUAUGUCAAUAUCUUUCGAUUUGAAUUGACACGUAGUGAUAUGAGGCAACAACUUAUUAUCCACAAAGUGAAGUACUCUAGAAAUGAGCGGAUAUGAAUUGAGACCCUCAUAACACAUACCAUAUCCUUAAGUUUAAGCAACCUCCGCGAUACAACAUGCCUUUAUGGUCAUGCACACACACCUUGGGUCUUACGAGUUCUCUAGAAAGACGACACAAGUCUUUCAUAAAAGGCGACCACAUCUUUACACUCACGUAGGUGAUGCCAUCAAGUCUAUCUCAAAUAGACCACCUUACGGCUAUAGAAUCGUUAAGAGCAAAUUAAGUUCAACCUUAUAAAAUAUUGCAUCAUGCCAUACGGAUAGAAAAUGUGUUGUAUAUUGAGGCCUAAUAGGUCCACCACAUUACCUCAAUCAAUGGGCUUUAGCCCUAUCCCCCUCGAUGUUUCAAGGAUUAUUUUCCUUGUCAAGCCCUUUGUCAUAGGAGAUGCCAAAUUUCUUUUGGACCUUACAUAUUCCAAGGAAAUAACACCCAGUUUAAAUAAUUGUUUAACUGCACCAUGUCUGAUGCGAAUGUGUCUAUUUUUUCCAUUGUACACACUAUUUUUAGCGAUUCCAAUUGUUGCCUGUGAGUCACAAUGAAGAGAAACUGGUGAAGCUUAUCUUCUACCACAAAGGCAUAUCCGCCAAAAGAUUUCUUAGCCAUUCAGCUUCUUGCCUGCCAACUCGAGAGCAAUGAAUUCUGAUUCCAUGGUAGAAUGUACUAUACAAGUCUAUUUGGAAGACUUCCAUGAAUUAGCACCUGCACCUAAAGUAAAUACAUAGCCACUUGUGGAGCUAACUUCAUCAUUGUCAGUUACCCUGUUUGCAUCACAAAAACCUUCUAAAACAGCAGGAAAUUUGUUAAAAUGCAAACACCAAUUGAUAGAACCUCUCAAAAACAUUAGCAACCGAUGAAGAGCAUUCGAGUGUUCACUACUGGGAGUAUGAAUAUAUCUUCUCAAUCUACUAACAGCAUAAGUUAUAUCAAGCCGAGUAUAGUUCAUGAGAAAAAGUACACUGCCAAUUAUUUUAGCAUAUUCAAUUUGAGAAACAGUAGAUUCUUUAUUUUUCUUCAAGUGUAUCCUAGGGUCAUAAGAAGUCCUCACUAGAACUACAUCAAAACAAUCAAACUUUUUCAACAUCUUUUCAAUGUAAUGAGACUGACAUAAAGAGAAACCAUUAGCAGUUCAUUUGAUUUUAACUCCCAAAAUCACAUCUGCUUCACCAAGAUCUUUCAUUUCAAAUUUAGAAGACAAAGAGUUCUUAAUCUCAUUAAUAACAUUCACAUUAGCAACAAAGAUUAACAUGUCAUCUGUAUAUAAACAUAUAAUGAAACAAUCUGAACCUAUGAUCUUAGAAUAAACACAUGUAUCGGAUGAAUUUACAACAAAGUCAUUAUCCACUAUGGUGAUAUUAAAUUUUUCAUACUAUUGCUUAGGUGCUUGUUUUAGUCCAUACAAUGACUUUCUCAGUUUGUAUAAUUUAUCCUCUUGUCUUGGAACCACAAAACCCUCGGAUUGAGUCAUAUAGAUCUCUUGCUCUAAAUGACCAUUUAGAAAUGCAGUUUUAACAUCCAUUUGAUGUACCACUAAAUCAUGAAUGGAGGCUAAAGCAAUAAGAGUUCUAAUGAUUGCUAUUUUUGUCACAGGAGAAUAAGUAUCAAAGUAAUCAAUGCCUUUCUUUUGGUUAAAACCCAUAAUCACAAGUCUAGCCUUAUAUUUAUCAAUUGUACCAUCAGGUCUCAAUUUCUUCUUAAAUAUCUACUUGCUACUUAUGGGUUUACAACUUUUAGGCAAAUAAUGCAAGUCCGAAGUCUGAUUAGAAACUAUAGAGUCUAACUCACUUUUAAUAGCCUCUUUCAAUAAUACAACAUCUAUUGAUCUCAUUGCUUCAUCAUAAGUCUUAGGAUCUUCUUCUAUUAAAUAGAUAGACACUAAUUCAUCAUUUAAAACAUUAAUAUAAUAAUUUUCAGUUAAGGAAGUAGUGAUAAAUUUAGGACCAAAACUUUUUCAUGUUCAUUAGAAAUAACUCUAGAAAAAGGUACAACAUGGGAAUCAAUAAACAUAGAUGUAGAAUUAUUAUUUUACACAUCACUCGGCACAUUAUUUUUUAAAAGGAACAUAUGCUCAAAAAAUUCUGCAUCUCUAGAUUCACAAAUAGACUAAUCAUUUAGAGACAUAAAUCUAUAUGCAGCACUAUUUUGAGCAUAACCUAUAAAUAUAGCAUCAGAAGUCUUAGAACCAACAUUUACUCAUUUAAAAUUAGGUAGAUCAACCUUAGCCAAACACCCCCACACUUUCCAAAAUUUCAAAUUAGGAGCAAAUCCUUUCCACAGCUCAUAUGAGGUCUUGUCUAACUUCUUAUGCGGGACUCUAUUAAGAAUAUAGCAUGCAGACAAGACUGCUCCUCCCCACAUAUUAUCAGAUAGACAGAGCUUAAAAGCAUAGAGUUUAUCUCUUUAAGGGUUCUAUUUUUCCGUUCGGCUACACCAUUUUUUUGGGGAGUAUAGGGAGCACUAAACUCAUGUAUAAUACCAUUUUUCUCACAAAAAUCUUCUAGAGUUUUAGUACUAUAUUCACCACCCCUAUCAGAUCUAAAUCUCUUGAUUUUCCUAUCUAAUUGAUUUUCCACUUCUGCUUUGAAUUUCAAAAACAUGCUUUCAUUUUCAUCUUUAGACUGAAGAAGAUAUACCUUGGUGUAUCUAGAAAAGUCAUCAACAAAAGUAAUGUAAUACUUUUUUCCACCUCUGCUAACACUGUUUUUGAAUUCUGCUAAAUCUGAAUGUAUUAGUUCAAGUAAUUCAGUCUUUCUACUAAUAACAUAUUUGAAAGGUUUCUUGGCAUGCUUUGCUUCUAUGCACACAUAACAUUUAGAAAAAUCAUCAGUUUUUAUCAUUAGAAUUAAUUCCAUUUUCUUAAGUUUUUAAUAGAAGCAAUAUUGAUAUGACCUAGUCUACCAUGCCACAAAUUGAUAGACUCAACAAUAUAAGCAAAAUUUAAAAUACUUCCAUUAUUGACAAUCUCUUGAACAAUGUUCAGUACAAAUAAUCCUCCACUAAGAUAUCCCUUCCCAACAAAGUCUCCUCCACUAGAAAUAAUUAUUUUAUCAGCUUCAAAAACAAGUUUAAGGCCUACUUUGUUGAGAAGUGCUCUGAAAACUAAGUUCUACGGAGGGAGGGAACAUACAAAACAUUGUUAAAGAAUAAUGUGUUUCCUAAAGUUAAUUUAAGUAAAACUUUUCAUUCACCCAUUACUACAGCAGUAGUGGAGUUACCUAUGUAUACACACUCUCCAUCAGUGGACUCCUCAAUGUCAUGGAAUAACUCUUUAUUGGAACAAAAAUGCCUUGAAGUGCCUGUGUCUACUACCCAGUCAAUCUUGUUAGCCACCAGAUUUGCCUAAACAACUACAACAACAAUCACUUCAUUACCCUCAGCAAGAUAAGCUUAGACAUCACUUUGUCCUUCCUGCUUUGAGUCUUUCCUUUUCUUUGAUAGCACCUGGCAGCCCUGUGACCAACUUUUCCACAAACAAAACAAGAACCCUUAAUUUUUUAAAUUUGACUUUUCGGCUUGUUGAAUUGAUUUUUCUUCUUCAUAAGUUCCUUUUUUAAGACUUUCUUCUGUUUGCCUUUGAAACUGUCUUUCACAACAGUACCAGAAGAUUCAACAAGAUUAACUUUAGAAGAAUUAAGAGAAAGUUCUUCCAUCUUAUCUUUGAGACGGUUCGCCUCUUCAGUCCUCAUAUGACUAAUAAAUUCUUGGAGAGUUAAAUUCUUUUUUCUUAUGUUUUAAUUGAUUUCUAUAAUCACUCCAAGAUGGUAGGAAUUUUUCAAGCAGAACAUUAGCCUGAAAUAUCUCAUACAUCUUCAUGUCCUCGUUGAGAACAUAAGCAGUCAAAUUCUCAUAUUCGUGAACUUGCUCCAUUAUGGGCUUAUUAUCAGGCUUAUUAUCAACCAUUUGUAAUUUAAUCCAUUGGCCGGCAACAUAUUUUUUCUUUCCUGUAUCAUCAGCACCAUAUUUCUUUUCCAAACUAUCUCAUAUCUCUUUGGCAGAUUUAUAGUUUUAAAAUAAAUCAAAUAAAGGGUCAGUCAUAUGAUUUAGCAAAUGUCCUCAAACAAUUUGGUUAUCCUUUUCAGACUUCUUUUUAACAACAUCAUCAACAGUUACAACAUUACUAGAAUCAUAAGCAGUGUUAGAACCAUUCAUAGAAGGUUCUUUAAAUAAAACAGAAUCAACUUCUAAUUGUUCAAAAGAAAUUAAAAGUUUUUGUGACCAUCGUUUAAAAAUUUUCCAUCCAAAUGCUCAAGUUUUGACAAAUCAUUAAAAGUUUUGUUCAAAGAAAUAUCCAUUAUCAAUAUUGUAUGUUAGGGAAUCACUUUCAAAUUGUUGGAAAAAUUACUAAAAUAUUGAUAUUAGAAUGAAACUAUAAAAUAGUAAAUAACUUAUCACAAAUAUUAUGUCAUGGCAAGCCACUGCCUUGAAAGCAAUUUUGGCUCGACUCUGGUGCAAAUCGUUGCAGUUGGUCGCUCCCCAAGGUUCCACAGUUACUCUCAAACACGUGCACUCGUGGCUGAGAGUUUGGAGGUUGCUCAAAACCUAUUGCCCAAAAAAUAUUCUAAGGAUAAGAAGAGGGGAGGGAAAAUGUUUUUCUAUUACCUUUUGUUGGAUGUCUUAUAAUUUUCACAAAGGUCAUGCUUAUAUAGGAUUUUCCAAAAAGGAGUUUCAAAGUGAAGCAUUAAUUUGUAUAACUCAUAUUGAAUGUUAAUGGCAUUAAAAGCUAUUACAUCACAUUCGAUAGAAACUCUUCUUUGUUUUGGGACGGAAGAAUUAAUUUCUUUGUAACAUAAUUGACUUUCUAUUCUUUGCAUUACAGAAAAAUUGAACAAAUGUAGAAUUAAUAUCGCUGAAAUCAUUCAGACUAUUAACACCAGGUAUUAAUAAAGGUUUCUGCACACUUCUUGCUGCUGAUAUUCGUCUUACCUCCGUCCAUUUAUCGUCCUGCUUUUCUUUGAUCAGCUCCCCUUGUCUCUCUGCCUUAAGUUCACUGUUGGAAUGUGCAAUUAUACCGGGGUCGUUUGGCACUCAUUCAACUGUAACCCUAUAGGAUCAGCAAGAUUUGGCAACUUCUGGUCAUCCCGUUUAGGUUGACACUCUUAAGCUUGUGGCUUAUCCUUACGAACAAUGGGUUUGGUUUGUACAUUAGGUGAGUUGUGCAUUUAUGUCCAACCUGGAGACACUUUGGACAAUAUACAGGUAUCAAUUCAUAAAUCACCUUCAGAUCAAACACUCUUCCAUUUGGAUCCUCCAUUCUAACUGAAACUGGGAGUUCUUUUGUUAUAUCAAGCUAAAUCAAAACUUUGGCUAAGGAGGUUCUAGCUACCUUCAUUGUGCAUUCAUCAGCAUACAAAUGCAAUCCCAAACCACUACUAAUUAUGCUCAAUGAUUGUAUCCACCGUCAAUUCUCUCUAUAUAUAGAUAUUAGUCCAAAAAAAACAUAGAUAUAUAUUACACUAUUUAGAUAAGAAAUCCCAGCAGGACUACAAAUUUGGAAAUAUACAUACAUAAAUUUAAAAGAUAGCAGUACUAGAAUAGCUCUUAACAACAUUAGUAGACAGUAUUUGUAUCAAUGAGCUAUUUUUUGGACCAACACAUCUAGGGGUUUUAAACUGGCUCACCGCGCCUCCUAAUCCAACGAAAUGAUCCAAUAUCUUAUUAAAGGUUCCCCUCUUCACAAUCCGCAGUUCAAGUGCCCCAAUUGUAUUCAUUCUCCUGUUGUUCACAUAGCUUGAAUCGAGGAACGAUUUGUCCAGACAGUUGCAGCACUCUUGCAAUAUUUCAUCAGUUGCUUCCCCACUCAGUUCCCAGAAGAUGACAUAGUGUCCUGGAUCAGAUGAGAUGUUGGCAUGGCUUGUGAAGUCCACCACUUCUAGUUUUUCGUCAACUAAGUGCUUGCCUGCAGCUUCCACAGCUAGUUGCAAAUCUUUCUCGGUGUUCUUGUCUAUGUUAAUGCUCAGCACAAGGUUCCUUCGACAGACGAACUGGAGCUCUGGAGUGCUAUUGUGGAAUCCUUUUAUCUUCACAACAUCACCCAGUCUAUAACGAUAUAAACCUGCAUAUGCAAAUGCAUAAGUGUAGUCAAUUAUACUAUCACUACAUAUAGCUAAACUUGUAUAUGACACAAUAGAUAGACCGAUACCUUGUUAUUUUGAAUAAAUCUGUUAUGUGGAACUUAGAAGGAAAAAUGCAAAAGAUUCCAGCAUUCUAUAUAGAAGUACUUAACAACAAAAGGAAAUGAAUAUCAAGCACAUGCACGUAUUGCUGAACAAAUGAGUACAACAGAACAUGGACAAAAGACCCAGAAUAAGGCAUAAAAGCAAACGACAACUCUUUUCUAUCUUAGCAGAAUUUAGUAUUUUAUGCCAGGCAGGCAUAUUUAACUGAUUAUGUUUCCAACAAUAUUGCCAUAAAGUACGAAGACUAAGGACAUGCUAAACUCCACAAGUCUAAGCUGAAUUACAUGGCAGUCAAUAAAAUUAGAGCAGAACUCGUUCACUGGGAAGAAUCACUGAAUAAUAAGAAUAUGCUCAAUUAUCCCCGGUUUAUCAUGUUGUGCUCACUCCAUAAUUCAUAUAUGAACAGAGACCUCAAUUUGAUGAGCAUAGAAUUUUCAAGAGAAGUCGUGCAAGAAAAUUGUACCUGCAAAAUUAGUGAAGACAAUUUCAUACUCUUCACCAAGUUUAACUUCAGUCAGGCAGACAGGAGAAUUUGCUUGCUCCAUGCCAAUGAGAUUUUCCUCGAGUGGGAGGAAUUCAAAAUAGCCAGUAUUUGGUAACACUGCAUAAGUAACCAUCUCAGGGGGGAAUUUUGGGUUAACAUUUAAUCCAACCCAUCCUUCAGAAGAACCAUAAUCUGCACUCACUAGAGGUAAUUUCCCUGCAUAGUGCCUCAGUUUCUUCAAGUAAGGCUCCAUGGAACCUGUCAUGAUACCAUAAAUGUACUUUGUAUUCGGGAAGAGUUUAGGAAUCAAGCCAUACCAAUUGCUUAAACUUGAGCAUUUGCUAUAAAUUGUAUCAGCCAGUUCUGGAUCAGGCUUCAGCAGUUUCGACAUGGCCAAUCUUAUAGAUGGGACUGUGACACGGCUCGAUAAGACUCCCUCCCUUAUGUCAACGACAAGUUCUUCCCAUACUUGUUCAAAAGUUCGAAAAGCUUGGACAAUGCUAUGUGCAAAUGCAGACGAAACAACUUGAACUUCAUUGCGGAAAAUGAGACCAGACAGGAGGUGACAGUACAAAGAUUGUCGAAAAUCAGGACCAAAUAUUACUUCAUCAGGACUACAAAUUGGGGUAGACAUUGCCUUCAUUGUCUUCUUGUAUUGUGCAUUUCUAUACACAUGGGUAGUGGCUGUUCCAGUUGCCAAACCACCUUUAGUUUUAAAUUGCUUGCUGCUGUAAAUAAUGUGCAAAACCUUCCCAUUCCCUAUUGGAAAUUCUCUGAAAGAAAAAAAUAUAGGCUAUAUGAUGUAUUUAUGACAAAAAAAACUUCAUGAACCAACAAGAAAAUUACAUGAAAUAUAAGACAGAGAACAAAAUGAAAAAUUACCUGUUCCUAAAGGCAAAAGAAGUCUUGAAUGUCUGCAUUGUGGACUUCAUCAAUUCUUCAUUGAAAGGUACAAACUUUGGCUUCCCUUGAGUAGUACCAGAACUGCAAAUCAACCCAUUAAAUUUCCUCUUUAAUCAUACAACAAUAUACUGCUCACAAGUGGGGUCUUAAAAAAGAAUAAAAACUUUUUUGCUUACCUCAAGGAGAUGGCUUGAAUGGGCUUUCCAGUAAGAAUAGGUGAAAGAUCACCAUCAGCAAUUCUUUGAAUGUAAGGAUUCAAAUCACUGUGACUGACAAUGGGGACACAAGCCUUGAAAGUCUCAACAUCAGUUCUGCCAUUCAGACCCCAUUUCUUCAAAUACUCUGUUCCCCCAUUUUCUUUCAGAAUUUUCUCAAGUGUCUCUUCUUGAAUCGUCCCAGCAUCUUUUGUCAUCACCUCAAAAUUCUCAAUCACUUCUUCUGCAUCAAAUAUCUUCUCAAUAUUUUCCAUCAUCUUCAUAAUCAAGACUUCAACUUUAAGCAAUAGCUGUCAAGUAAAAGCAGUCAAGAAUCCUCAAUUUGAGAGAUGGGGUUGGGGGUUAAGAAGAAUUUAAGCAAAUCCAUAGUUAUUACUAACUUCAAUGCAACUUAUUACUAACUUCAAUGCAACUUAUUACUGACUUAAAUGCAACUUAUUACUAACUUCAAUGCAACUUACCUCAUAAAAAGAAUUGACAGAAAUAAAGAAAACAAGUUUGUUACAGAUAAUCAUACUCAUUAUCUUCGUCUUAUUCUUAAGAUACAGAGAUGAAUCUAGAAAUUGAAAAUACCGAGAUAAUUGUCAUUUUUAAUGUAGACGUGUCAAUUUUUUUAUUUAAACUAAUAUAGACACGUCAAUUAUUUACACAAAGUUUGAGGCAUAAUUCUAUGGGAAAAAUUGGGUUGUAACUACUAAAAUGCAAAUAUAAAACAAAGUGCAAUUGGAAGUUGGUGUUGGGUUCUUUAAAAUGUUUGAACAUGAAUUGGAGGGUUGUGACUCUUCUGAAAGUUAUGACUUUGCAGAAAGGUUGUGAUCUUUAUGAAAAGUUGUGUCUUUUCUAAUGGAUUGUGAUCGUUUGAAAGUUUGUGUAUCUUUCAAAGAGUUCUGACGUUUUUGAAUGGUUGUCUUAUUUUCAAAGAGUUGAGACCUUUAGCGUUUGUUGGCUAUAAAUAGAUAGGUUUUCUCUCGUUUUUGUGCAUUGAAUUAUAUCUUCUUUUGCAUACAUUUGUUACGAAACAAAAUCGAUCAAUCGUGUCUGUGUGUGUGAUUUGUUAAUGUCAUUUUAAGUUCAUUGAAUUUAUUGAAGUUUGAGGUAUCGCUACUUCUUUAAUGAUUAAUCUAAUUUAUCUUGGGAGGAUGUAACUGCAACCUUGAGUACUUGAGGGAAUUAAAUUUCUUAAGGACACGCAGCGGUUCUGUGGACUCAGAUAGUUUUUUGUGUUUUUCUUUUCAACUUUUAUUAUUUCUAGUUUACUAAUUCGUUUAUAGGAGACAAAAAAUUUAAGAAACUUAAUAUUUGAAGGAAUAUUGAUUGUAUUGAAGUGUUAACCUAAUAAGGGAAUACAUGGGAGAUAUAUAUAGGAGAUAUAGGAAGGAUUACUAAUCCUAAUAGGACUAGGAUUAAGGAGUACUAAUCCUAAUAGGACUAGGAUUAGUACACAGUAAAUACUAAUAUUAUUUAAUAUUAUUUGUUUAAUUCUAUCUGUUAUUAUCCUCCCUCAAGAUGAGCUGAGCGGAAGCGAACGGAAGCUUGGAACUGAGGUAAUCAUGUUGUCGGAUCGGGAGAGCCUUGGUGAGAAUAUCAGCCAGUUGUUCUUCAGUGGGUACAUACUGCACAGUCAUGGUGCCGGCCUGAACUUCAUCGCAAACAAAGAGACAAUCGGUAUCAACAUGCUUCAUUCUGGUGUGUAGGACGGAAUUCUUGGCCACACAGAUGGUUGAUUUGUUGUCACAAUAGAGAGCAGGAACAGUGUGAGUGCCGCGGAGUUCGCAAAGAAUAUAUGUGACCCACAUGGUCUCAGCAGCGAGAAGAGCAAGGGCGCGGUAUUCAGCUUCAGUCGAGGACCGAGAGACCUUGGGUUGUUUUUUUGUACAAUAGGAGAUCAGGUUCGGCCCCAAAAAAAUGAGAAACCCCGAUGUAGAUUUUCUGUCAUUUUUAUCAUUCGCCCAAUCUGAAUCUGAGAACCCCCGAAGCUCCAAGUUCCCGGGUCGAAUGAGUAAACCACGACCAAGAGUGCCAAAAAUGUACCUGAGAAUGCGUUUUAGACAAUGGUAAUCAUGUUCACUUGGUUGAUGAAUACGCUGAGCAACUCGGUUGACAGCAAACUGGAUGUCAGGACGGGUAAUGGCCAGAUAUUGUAGAGCCCCAAUGAGGCUGCAGAAGUGGGUGAUAUCCAGCAAAGGGGGUGUCGGCUCCAUUCUUAGACGAAGAGAAUGCCAUUGGUGUUGGUUGACUGGUGCAUUUUUCCAGUCCAGCUUUCUACAACAGAUCUCGAGCAUAUUUUGACUGAUGAAGAAACAAGUCGCUGUCUGUCCGAGAAACCUCCAUUCCCAGAAAAUAAUGUAACGGGCCAAGGUCCUUCAUUUUGAAGGUAGUAGCUCGAGUGACAUCCUGAAUGAGAGCUGCAGUAGAGCCUGUAAUAAUGAUAUCAUCUACAUAGACUAGAAGAAUGACUGUACCGUGUGCUGAAUGUCGAGUAAACAGACUCGUGUCGUGUACGCAACACGUGAAGCUGAGUCCGUGGAGGAACGUUUUCAGACGUGUGUACCAAGCACAGGGGGCUUUCUUGAGCCCAUACAGAGACUUCUGGAGUUUGCAAACAUGUUGAGGGAAGCAGGGAUCAACAUAGCCCGGUGGUUGCGUCAUGUAGAUAGUUUCAACAAGCAUGCCAUGAAGAAAAGCAUUGGAAACAUCCAACUGAUUGAUGAGCCAAUUGUUGCGCACGGUGAGUGACAGUACCAGGCGAAUGGUUUCCUGCCGAAUAACAGGACUGAAUGUUUCGGAGUAAUCAAGCCCAUACUCCUGAUUGUAGCCUUUAGCAACCAAACGAGCCUUGUACCUGGAAGUACUGUCAUCUGCAUUGUGUUUAAUUUUGUACACCCAUUUACAGCCCACUGGGUGCCGCCCAUGGGGCUUAGGUACAAGAACCCAAGUUUUCUGAUCAGUCAAAGCCUUAAACUCGUCAUCCAUAACAUGACGCCAAUAAGCAUUUUUUGAGGCAACAGAGUAGGUUGUUGGUUCACUAUCGGGAAGGGGUGUAUUUGGUAGUAUGGUAGCCUAAAAGGUUUUGAGUUUAAAGAUAUCGGCUUUGCCAUGGGUUAACAUGGGAUAAGUAUUUGGGGGGUGGCACGGGCGGUGGUGAUUCGGGGGUGUCCGGGAAGGACACAAAACGAAUCGGCUGUAGAUGUUGUGGGUAUGGGGUGGUUUGGGUUGGUUGUGAGUGUGGGUGGUGGUCGCGGGUAAAUUGUGGGUGACGGUCGAAGGGGUGAUGAGGGGUGGUUGGGUAGUGUGUGGAGGUGUGGGGGAAGGUGGUGAGGGACCCUGUGAGUAUGUUAGAAAAAGGGGAAGGACGCCAAUGAAUGAUGUAUUUGUGGAGGAGGAAAUAAACUCGUAGGGAAACUCAUUUUCGACAAAUUUGACAUGAUGAGAUAUGUAGACUUUAUGAGUUUGUGGGUCAAGACAGUGAUAACCCUUGGAGAUAGGAUGAUAUUCCAAAAAAAUACAAGGACGGGAUCGGGGUUUUAAUUUGUGAGUAAUAUGAGGGCGUAGCCAAGGGUAGGCAAUAGACCCAAAGACGCGGAGGUUGGUAUAAUUGGGAAGUUCUGGGUAAAGGAGUUGGUAGGGUGAUUUGUUGGAGAGGGUGUGACUGGGCAUUCUGUUAAGGAGGUAGUUUGCGGUGGCUAGAGCUUCUACCCAAAAGGAGACAGGGAGAUGAGAUUGAUGUAGAAGAGUAACCACCGUUUCAAUGAGAUGGCGAUGAUUAUGCUCAGCCACCCAUUCUGUUCGGGAGUGUAUGGACAGGAGGUUUGAUGUAUAAUUCCCAGGGAUUGCAGAAACUGGCCAAAGAUGUUAUUUACAUAUUCCUUUCCAUUGUCACUUCAAAAAAGUUUAACAUGAGAAUUGAAUUGUGUUUUGACCAUUUUUUCAAAAGUGACAAAGGUAGUGUAUGCCUGUGAUUUGUGUUUUAGUGGGUACAACCAAGUGUAUUUUGUAAAAUCAUCCACAAAACAAAUAUAAUAGUGAAAACCAGCAAAUGAAGGAACAGCUGUAGGACCCCAUAGGUCAGAAUGAAUAAGUUGAAAAGUUGCAGUUGUACGCUUCUUAGAUAAAGUAGAAGGUAAUUUAUGAGAUUUAGCAAUUGAACAGGAGUCAGAAUUGUUUAUAUGAAUGGAAGAAAAACCUAAUUGAGACAUUAAAGAAUUUAUUAUUUGAGUAGACGGGUGACCCAGACGACUGUGCCACAACGACUGUGGCCAUCAGGCGAAAGAGCCCCCGAAUCCACAGGAACGGUUUCUGAAACUGGGUAGGCAGUCGAACUUGCGCCAGGAAGAACGUACAGACCAUGCUCACAGGGGCCCUGAAAAAUCACCCUCUUGGUAGUAUUGUCUAGGAUCUGAAAAUCAUUAGAGGUGAACAAGAGUGAGCAAUUAUUGUCUUUUGUGAAUUGGUGAACUGAAAGGAGAUUGGUUUUAAUAGAAGGGACGUGGGUAAGGUUACCUAGGUGAAAAGAUAGUGGUGGGGGUUUUAAUGGUACCCGUGCCAGUGUGAGAAAUAUUAAGGGACUCACCGUUGCCAACAGUAAUACCAUUGGAGCCAUGAUAUGGAUUUGGAGCGUUAAGCUUGGAUAGUUUAGAAGUAACGUGCAUGUUGGCCCCAGUAUCCAACAGUCAUUCAGAGGAGGGGCCGGCUUGAGAUACAUAAUUGGCACGGUUAUCACUAUUUCGGCUCUUCUCAUACCGAAACCAGCAACGAACAACGGUGUGUCCUGUUUUCUAACAGAUUUGACAAGUUGGACGAUCCCGCUCGUAAGUGCCCUGCCAGCCGCUGGAAGAUGACUGCCCGCCGCUGCCGAAGGAGUGCAGGAUGUUGUUGCUGUCGUGCUGCUGACCGUCAUACGGCGGACGACUGCCCUGCCGACCGCCGCGCCCGCGGCCUCCGCUGUUUCUGCCGUAGCCGCCGCGACUCCUCUACCGGCCACCACCACGCCCCCCGCGAUAGUUCUGGCUUGCGGUGAAGGCGGUGGCCGGCUCCAUAACAGCGGCUUCUCGGAGAAGAAGUUUGCUCUCCAGAUCCACGUUGAUUUCUUCACUUUUUAGCCAUGAGGAGAGAGUAGCCAGGUCAACGGGCGUUGGACUGAUGCGAACCGCCUGUUUAAUGGAGGAGCAAGCUGAUGGGAGCCCCCGAACGACGCACAUGACGAGAUCUUUUUCGGGAAUGAUUUCGUUCGCGGUGUCGAGGGUUGUGAUGAUUGUUGAGACCUUGUCUAAAUACUCCGCCAUAGUUUUCGUGCCUUUGGUAAUUGUGUGGAGACGAUCACGCAAUUGAAAAAUAUGAGAGUAGGAAAUUGAUGCAUAGCGUGUUGCGAGGGUCGUCCACAGUGCUGAAGUAGUUGUGUAGGAUCGGACGUGUUUCUGAACCGUGGGAGAGAUGACCGUAAUCAAACAUGAUCAAAUCUGAACAUCCACGGCUUUCCAGGCGUCAUAGGCCGGAUUGGUUUUUUCUGAUUUGUCCGUGGCGGUGAUGACUGCCGGCGGCGAUUCUGUGCUUCCAUCGACGUAUUUGAGAAGGUAAUUGGCCUCAAGGGCUGUAAGAACGGUGAUUUUCCAUGUAGUGUAAUUUAUGUCUGAUAAUUUUUCAAGAAUUAGGGCAUGAAGAUGCCUAAGAAGGAGUUUAACGCCAGAAGGAAGUGAAUCGAGAGGAUCCACCUCGGUUGUCAUGGCUGCCACCUCCCAAGAGAAGAGAGGGAACGAUCGGUGCCCUAAAGAGAGAAAAAAACCUAGAGAAAAGAAGAUCUAGGUUUUCUGGCUCUGAUACCAUGAAGAAAUAUUGAUUGUAUUGAAGUGUUAACCUAAUAAGGGAACAGAUGGGAGAUAUAUAUAGGAGAUAUAGGAAGGAGUACUAAUCCUAAUAGGACUAGGAUUAAGGAGUGCUAAUCCUAAUAGGACUAGGAUUAGUACACAAUAAAUACUAAUAUUAUUUAAUACUAUUUAUUUAAUACUAUCUGUUAUUAAUAUUGAAGGUAUUUUAUGUUAAGACUUACUUCUAUUUUCAGUAUUCUCUUUAUUGGGAAAAAUAAGUUGAAAAAGAAAAUUAUUUUAUCAUGAUAAAAGAGAUUUGGAAUGAAUUAAUACUACUUCAAUAUGGUCGAGUAAUUAAUACUACUCAUUUUUCUGCAUUGAAUUAUCUUCUUCUUUUGCAUACAGUUCAUACAAAACAAAAUCGAUCAAUCGUGUCUUUGUGUGUGAUUUGUUGAUGUCAUUUUGAGUUUGUUGAAAUUAUUGAAGUUUGAGGUACCACUGCUUCUUUAAUGGUCAAUCCAUUUUAUCUUGGGAGGAUGUAAUCUGCAACCUUGAGUACUUGAGGGAAUUAAAUUUCUCAAGGAAACACAGUGGGUUCCGUGGACUCAGAUAGUUUUUUGUGCUUUUCUUUUCAAUUUUUAUUAUUUCUAGUUUGCUAAUCGGUAUAUAGGAGGCAAAAAAUUUAAGAAAUUUAAUAUUGAUGGUAUUUUUUAUGGUAAGACUUACUUCUAUUUUCAGUGUUCUUUUUAUUGGGAAAAAUAAGAUGAAAAAGAGAAUCAUUUUAUCAUAUGAUAAAAGAGAUUUGAAAUGAAUUAAUACUACUUUAAUAUGUUCGAGUAUAUUUUCUGUAGUAUGUUUUCCUUAAUUAGAUGGGUAUGAUUAUUUUUAGUUUCUUCCCAAGUGCAUUGAAGCAACUCACUACACUUUUUAUUUAUUUUUUUUUUCCCUAUGUUAGUUUUACAUAAGUAUGAAAAAAGUAAAUGAACAAAUGUUGUCUCCUAACAAUAUUUGAACAUGAGUUUAGUUUCUUGUUGAAACUAAAUGUCUUCUUGAGAAAAAUAGGAACAUGAAGGAAACUAAGAAAAGGAGAAAAAAAUUAGCAAGGAACAUGACUUGCAUGGAAUCAAUAGAUAGAAUAUGAUUUGGUUAGGGUAAAAAUCAGGUUCUAUCUUUAUUUCACUUGAUUAUUAUUAUUUUUCUAUUCCUUUAUAAGUUAUGAAAUGUAUUUCAUAAAUGUUAGGAUAGAUGGUCAUAAUGUGAUGAUCCAGAAUAUAUGUUUAUUAUUACUAGUAUGUAUUCUGUUUAGAGGGGGUACUUUUGUAAUUUUCUACUCCAUGUGAAAUUUGAUUGUGUUUGACUUUUGGAGACUAAAAUCUUCUGAUUUUUUUUAACUUGUUUGAUUUGAAGAAUAUAAGAACUUUACUAACAAAUCAGAUUGUGCAUUGGUUUAAAGAAAAUAGUAACUUCACCAAUAUGUUAAAUGCUUUGUUUGAAUGAAUGUUCUGACUUGAAGAGUAAAAAAUCUGCGUAGGAAUAUUAAGGCUAAAUGAUUUGAAAGAUAUAAAAUCUUCAUCUUUAUCUAGAAACAAUGUUGUAUUUGAGGUUUCUGGAGAUUGAAAAAUUUCUGGUUUACUACUUUGUCUGAAUGUGAAACUGAUUCCAAGAAUAUAAAAACUUCAUCAAAAUUCAAGAUUUUUUCGGUUAACGAUUAGAAAAAUAUAAAAACUUCAUUGUUAAAUUGGAAACAGGUUGUAUAAAGAUUGAAUCUUUAUUUUUAGUAUUCUAAAUACUAAGUGGUCUGUCUAGUUGUGAUAGAAAGUAAAAAAAAAACACUACUAACAUAAAAUUAGUGAUUUUUGUGCUUGCAAUAGGUGUUUCUAUGGAUUAAAUCUCCAAAAGAAGAUUUUGUGUUAUCAAUGUAUAUUUUGAUGAUAUACAAGUUGAAUGAAUGGAAACAAAAUAUGUGGAAAUAAUUUCGAGUACUUGAAAAUAUUUUUGAAAACAUAUUUAAAAUGUGGGGGUUCUUCAUUUGUGAUAAAGACAAUAUUAGAUUUACCCACGAAAUUUUUGGAGUAUAUUUGAUAUUGCGGUCGUUGAGUCUUUCUUUACCAGUAUAUGAUAUGAAUAGUAUAAAACUACAAAAUUAUAUUACUCUUUCAAAAGAAUUGUAUUCUUUGAUGAAAAAGAGUCACUUGGAUAUUAUGGAAAGGUCCUUUACAAAAGACAUCUGGCAAGGUGUUGACUCUAAAACAAUGUUUGCAUUUGACAAAGUUAUAACAAGUAACGAACAAAAUAUUUGUAGGAAAAUGCUACCUCGCAGAAGGUUUUUCCAAACCAAGUAUUUCUAAUUGUUCUGACUUAAACUGAUCAACUUAGAAGUUUUGCCUAACUCCUAGUGCAAAUGUCAAGUAUGUGUUGUUGAAAAGAAUUUCAGUCCCUUAGAAUUGAUUUACACUGACAUUUUUUAUAUGGAGUCAAUACCAUCUCGUAGUGGGAAAAGUGUUUCAUAAAUUUUAUUGACAAUUGCACUAGACAUUGUUAUGUUUCUUUGCUGAAUAAUAAGGAUAAAGCAAAAGAAACAUAUAAGCAAUAUAAAUUUGAAGUUCAAAAUUAGUUAGAUAAAAUAUUGUCAUGAUUAGAAGUGGUAGAUGUUGAGAAUAUAAAUCUUCUUUUGCAUAAAUAUAUUUGCAAAAUGGAAUCAUCCAUCAAAUUACUUCACAUACUCACCUCAAUCUAAUGAAAUUGUUGACAGAAAAAAAAAUUUGAACUUUGAAUGAAAUGUUGAAUUGUCCUAUUAAUAAGUUUAGGUUUACCAAAAAUAUUAUGGGGGAUGCUAUCAUUAUAGCAAAGAUAACAAGAAAAAGUUUAUAUGUUCAGAAAGAAAGAUACAAAAAAAAUGUUUGUCAGUAAAGAGAGUAACAAAUAAAAAAAUUUAUUGUUAAGAAAGGGAGCAAGAAAAAGAUGUGUUUGUUCAGGUUUAAUUGUAUCCUGAUAGAGAAUUGUUUGUCGCCCCUUAAAGUAUAUACAAUCAAUAACACCUUUGAAAAUAGUGAUCUAACAAUUUCCAAUACAAUUUAUUCCAUAUGAGAAAUGGGAAUAUGGAAACUAUUUCCAAACGGGUCAAAAUAGGACCUAUGAUUGUGGACCUACAAAUAUUAAAGCAUGUUGGAAUGCUACAAGUGUUGGUAGUUCUAUAAAAGUUGGUUUUUACAUGGCAUGCAUAUUUGCCUUGCACCAUUACAAGUGAUUAAAGUCACUAAUUUGGUAGGAUCCAUGUGGUAAUGGUCGUUGUUUUACAACACUCCCCCUUAGAUGUGUAUAUAAAUGAAAAGUUAAAAAUAAAUAUACAUAGACAUUCAAAAUAUGCUUUACUUGAUACCUCAUUAAAAAAAAAUUUAGGAAAACUCACGGGACAAAACCUAGACUAAGGAAAAAAGAGUACAACGCAUAUUUUACACUCUCUGAUAAAGACCAUGAUUCAGAUGCUUAAGUCUGCCCAUUCCAAUCUUUUGCACCAUAUUUACAAGAGUUGAGACAGGUAAAGAUUUGGUGAAUAAAUUUGUUGGAUUAUCACUUGAAUGAAUUUGUCGUAUAUCAAUAUCACCGUUCUUCUAGAGAUCAUGUGUAAAGAAUAAUUUCAGUGAAAUAUGCUUCAUUCUAUCUCCUUUUAUGUAGCCUCCUCUUAAUUGAGCUAUGUAUGCAGCAUUUUCUUCAAAACCACUGUGGGUACCUUGACAUCACACUUCAAAUCACAUCUUUCUUUUAUGAAAUGUAUCACUAAUCUCUACCAUAUACAUUCUCUACUAAAUGUUCAAUUUAUAGACCAAGACAGUGUUUUGUCUUUCAAAGAUCUUUCUAUCUCAAAUUAUUUCUUUAGAAAUUCAAUUGGAUUUUUGACCUCUUCUAGAGUUCCAAUGAUAUUAAUUUCAUCAACAUAAACUGCAAGAAUAACAAACUCUGACGUUGUUUUCUUAAUAAAAAUUUCAAGGACAAAUGACAUUAUUUAUAUAAUUUUGUUUUGUCAAGUACUCACUGUGGCGAUUAUACCACAUGCAUCCUGAAUAUUUUAAGUCGUAUAAUGACGUUUGUAAUCUGAUUGAACACAUUUCCUGAGUUUUUGAACCAUAUAUUUCAGGCAUUUUAAGUCCUUCUGAAAUUUUUAUAUAAAUUUCAUUAUCAAAUGAAUCGUAAAGAUAAAUUGUGACCAUAUCCAUCGGAUGUAUUUCAAGAUUUUCAUGAAAAGCUAAACUGAUGAGAUAUCAAAAAGUUAUUGCAUCCAUAACUGGUGAAUAUGUUUCUUCAUGGUCAACAUCAGGUCGUUGAUAGAAUUCUUGCGCAACAAGGGGUGCCUUGUAUCUUAUAAUUUCAUUUCUCUUUCGCACAAAAAUGCAUUUAUAGCCAAUCGAUUUUACAUCAAUUGGGGUUUGGACUACAGAUCCAAAAACGUUAGGUUUAGCAAGUGAGUUCAAUUCUAAUUGAAUUGCCUCUUACCAUUUUGGCAAAUCACAUCUUCAUCGACAUUCUAUGACAAACAAGGGUUCAAGAUCCUCAUUGUCUUACAUAAUGUUAAGUGAGACAUUAUAUGCGAAAACAUUUUCAACUAUAAUUUUCGAUCGAUCUAAACUAAUCCUAUCACUAGUAGAACUUAUUGAAAUUUCUUCAUUCACUUGAAUCUCGGGUUCACCGAUCUCUUCUGGAAUAUCAGGAUUAAUCAAAUCAUGAAUAUUUUAGUGAGAUUCUUUUGCAGUGUCAUUUUUCAUACUUCUUUUUCUAGGAUAUUUAUCCUUUGAACCCAAUGAUCUGCCACACUUCAAGAGUGUUUGUGUUUCAGAAGCCAUGACACUUGUCGAUGGUCCUUUUGGGACGUCAAUCCAGAUAGACACAUUUACUGCAGAAUAUGUGACUUUGUUAUCCUUUUCAAAUUAGUAAAGCCGUAUGGCAUUUGAUUUGCUAUUUUUUGCAAAUGGAUGAUCUUCUGGACCUCCUGGUCACACAUGGGAAACGUGGGUCAAAAUAAGAUAAUUAUGAAACUUUUAAUGCAAUUUCACUUUUAAGUUUCUUUUUCUCUCUCAUUAAUUGCGGAAAAUUCGUUUCAUCAAAUCAACAAUCUGCAAAUCUUGCAGUAAAUAAAUCUCCCAUCAUUGGCUCAAGGUAGAGAAUUAUGGAGGGUAAAUCAAAUCCAAUAUAUAUGCCUAACCUUCUUUGAGGCCCAUCUUAGUGCGUUGCGGUUGUUACUGAACAUAUAAGUUGUUACUGCACAUAUAAAGCACAUCCAAAAAUUUAUAAAAUGAGCAAUAUUUGGUUCAUGACCAAAUACUAAUUAUGAAGGAGAGUAUUUAUCAUAAUGAGUCGGUCUGAGAUAAACAAGUGAUGUUGCAUGUAAGAUAGCAUGGCCCCAUACAAUAGUGGUAACUUACUUUACAUAAGUAGAGGUUUUGCUAUCAAUUGUACGCGCUUAAUAAAUGACUUAGCAAGGCCAUUUUGAGUAUGAACAUGAGCUACAUGAUGUUCAACUUUUAUCCCUAUUGAUAAGCAAUAAUCAUUAAAAGCUUAGGAUGUGAAUUCUCCAGCAUUAUCAAGGCGAAUUGUCUUAAUGGGAUAAUGUAAAAAUUGCGCUCUUAAUCGUAUUAUAUUGUACAAAUAAUUUUGCAAACGCCACGUUGCAAGAUGAUAAGAGGCACACAUGAGACCAUCUUGAAUAUGCAUCUAUUAGGACCAUAAAAUAUCUAGACAACUCACUAGAUGGGUGAAUAGAUCCAUAGAUAUCCUCAUGUAUACAUUUUAAAACUUGAGGGGAUUUAAUGUUAACCUUAAUUGGUGAUGGCCUAUCAAUUUGUCGUGAUAACAAGAAGCACGUGAAAAUUCAUCACACAUAAGAAUCUUCAGGUUCUUUAAUGAUAUCCAUUUGAGUUUCCAAUGAUUCGUCUCAUCAUUAUUGAUCUAGGAUGACCUAUUCAGACAUGCAAAAGCACAAUAGUUUUUCAGUCAGUAAACUUCUGGUUCACGAUAGAAUGUUCUUCAACUAUAGUUUUUACAUAAUAUAAUCUAGAAGAUAAUGUUGAUAAUUUAUUCAACAUAUAUUUUUUAUCUUAGACAUUUUGAUAAUAUCAAGGUACUCAACAUUUAUUUCAUUGAUCGUCUCAACAUGAUAUCCAUUUCGGCGAAUAUCUUUAAAACUUAACAGGUUUCUUGGGGAUUUAGAAGAGAAAAAUACAUCUGCUAUAAUAAGUUUUGUCCCCGUAGGCAGCAAGAUAAUAGUUCUUUUGGAGCCUUCUAUUAAGUUCAAACUAUAAGAAAUUGUAGUAACAUUUCCUUUUCUUCUAAGCAAGUAAGAGCAGUAUUUCUCAUUUUUUAAUAUGUCGUGGGUUGUUCCACUAUCAAUUACACAAAUAUAUUCAUGGUUGAUCAUUGAUUCAAACGAAGUUUGGGGCAUAUCCAUAUUUUCUUGAUAAAUAAAUUUAAACAAAGUAAAAUAUUACUAUUAAAUAAGGCUAUUAUAUUUACAAGAUUAGAAAAAUACAUACAUACCAACUAAUACAAACAAACAGAAAAAGAGAUUAUCUAGAUUAUCGCGGGAUCGCCAUUGAUCGUUUGUCCUUCAGGGAAUACAAAGAAAUCAGCUACAUUUAGAAGCAUACGGUCAACAUUUGCUUUUGCAUUACUAUUCAUCUUAUGCAUGGGUUCAACAUUAUCUUUGAGACAUAAAGUUUGCAACUAGAUUAUAAUUAUCCUUUUUCAAGGAUGCCUGAUAGAGCUAAACCAGACGCUUAGAUGAUCAGCAAGUAUGCGACCAGUGCCCCAUUCCUCAACAUCUAAGACAUAUACUUUCUGAAUUUUUCUUUUGUAUACUUCUUGUCUUUCACCUUUCCUUUUAUAUUGCUGGUCAUUUUUAGGUGCAAGACGACCAUCAUGAUUAUAAUUUAUUUUACGAUCACGAUCGAUCAUGACCGGAGCCAUGACCACGAUAAGAGCCACGACCUCUUUCUAAUUGGUGACAAUUUGUCUAAUUCACUUCACGAAGUGGCAUAGAAUCAACAUAUCGACUUCCAUGAUUUUUUAUCAAAAUAUCGUUAGUUGUUCUGCAAUAAGAAGAUGUGAAAGUAAUUCAGAAUAUUUUUUAAAACUCAUUUCUUGAUAUUGCUACUGCAGGAGCACACUAUAGGCAGGAAAUGUGGAGUAUUUUUUCUCAAGCUUAUCAUGUUCAAUGACCUCUUUUCGGCAUAAAUUUGACUGUGAUAUAACUCUAUGCAUGGAAUAAUAUUUUAAAGUCUAUUAACCUCAAAUUAGACCAAUCAUGAUACACCUGUGGAAAGAUGACCAACUUCAGGUGGUCAUAUCUAUCUUUUAAUUUUUUCCACAAUACAAGGAGUCUUUAAUAGUGAGGUAUUGCUAAAUUAGAAAUGUGUAACUUGGCCACUAAUUGUCAAGUGUUGGUAGUUCUCUAAAAGUUGGUUUCCACAUGGCAUGCAUAUUUGUCUUGCACAGGGAAGGAUCUACGUGGCCACGUGGCACCUAGUGAUUUCGGAAAAAACAUUGUAUAUAUGUGUAUAUAUGCAUAUUAAUUGCAUAUAUAUUAGUUUUCCCAUCUGUGCUGCGAAAUAGCUUAGCUGGUAAAGGAGGAGAUCACCCACCUAGGCUAUGCAGAUUUGAAUCUGGCCAUCAACACUUCCUUUUUGUCUUGCUCCUUUUUUUUCUUUACUUUUUUUUCUUUUCUUUUUUUCUAUACAUUCUUAUUUAUUUAUGACUAUUCUUUAUUAAUUCAAUUGACCCUUUUUUUUCCUUUUUUUUUUACAUUUGUUCUUAUUUAUUUAUUACUAUUUUUUAUUAAUUCAAAUUGACCCCUUUUCAUAAUUAAUUUUGAGUUUGUUUUAUUUUCUCUUGCACUAAUUAUUAAUCUCUUGAUAUGAGUAUAACGUGUUUAUUUUUUUAAUCAAUUAGUGAGUACAGAAUUAUGAGCAUCAAAUAAAUAUUAUGAAGAAUAUAUUUAAAUAGUAAUUUUAAAAAAAAACAUAAGUUUCAGAAAUUAUUUUUUUUAAUUUAAAGGUUCUUGCGAUCUUCAUCGACAUUUUUGCUAUAUAAAUGGCUAAACUGAAAGUACAAUUUUUAUUCUUUCUCAACUAUAUGCUUCCAAUAACACAUAAAGUCAAUGGAAGAUGAAUAUAUUAUGUUAAUACUAUUAGAUGGUUUAUACAAGCUCAAAUUUUAAUGUGAAAAAUCUUUUUUUUCUUAAAAGUUUCAGUGAAGACGACAUCAAAUUCCAAAAAAGAAAUAAAAUUGAAUUGUUUAGUUAUAUCUAAUCACAUAAUAUCUAAAAGAAAAUAUUAUUACAUGCAUUUUUGAUCGAUUCAUUUAUAAAAAUAAAUAAAAUUAAUAACCUGAGUUGUAACCCAAAAUUAAAGCAACCAUUCUUUCAUCUUACUUGAACGUGUGGCACCCCCGACCUCCAAAUCCUGGAUCCGCCUAUGAUCUUGCACUAUUACAAGUGAUAAAAGUCACUAAUUUAGCGGGCUCCACGUGAUAAUGACCAUUGUUUUACGAUAAGAGAAUCAAAAUGACAUAAAAAUGGAAAGGAGAGAAAAAAAAUGACGGAAGAAAAGACAAAAAUAAAAGAGAGAAAAUAAUGGAAGAAAAGAGAAACAGAAAAAAAAUGUAAUGACGGAAGAAGGAGUAUAAAGAAAUAAUGUAUUUUGUUAUGUGGAGUGAUAAAAAUAAUGUCAUUUACAGUAAGAGUACAUAUAAUUCCAUAGCUAUUAAGUCGUAACUAAUAUAUUAUAUUAUAUUAUUUAUGUAAAAUGACCCCUAAAUAAACUGUAUACAAUUUUUUAAGGUCAAAUACAUAUCGAUACAUGUUUUAUAUACCUAGAUACUUCUAUUUUACUACUUGAUACGUUAUAAUAGGGAGAUAGACGAGAAAAUAUAGGAGGGAGACGAGCGAUAUUUGUCUAUAUACCACAGAUACAUGUAAAUCAUACUUGAUACAUACACACUAGAUACAUGUACUUGUAUGUAUCUAAUGUGAUUUGCAUGUAUCUGUAUAUCAAACACGUGGGAAAGUGGCAAGCGAGAUUUGUCAAAUCUCAGAUCCAUGCAAAUCCACUUAGAGUAUCUAGAAUAAAUUACAUCUAAUUUUGACCUUUGGACAUAUUUGGACACACCAAAUUCUGAUAAGGUUCGUACUAUUGCAAAUUAACGUGUAUUUAAGUAAUUAACUUCUAGACUAAUACAAUUUCUAUAAAUUACUCUAAUUUAAUUAAUUGGUCAAUUCGUCCCAUUGUAGAGAUGUACUUAGGGGAGAGCCGUCAUUUUCACAAUACAAAGUAAAUAAAGUAUGUCCUUUCAAUUAGUGUAGGAUUUCAACUCUUAACGCAUAUCAAGUUUGUUGUCAAUCUGUGUUAAGAAAAUCAGAAAUUACUGGUUGUAAUAAAUUAUUCAGAAACACGAAGUAACAAAGAUUUUUAGAACCAGUAAAUAAGAUGAACAGAAAUUUAUUUGUAAAAAAUAAUUUAAUCUGUAAAACUUACCAAAAUCUUGAAUACUCUUUUUGAUAAUUUAGGAAGAAAAUCAAGUCCACUGAAUUCACAGUGUCCCCUUAAGGAAAUUAUUCCCCUCUAGUAUCUGAGGUUUGAUUUGGAAUAUAACCUCCCAGGGUAAAAUGAUCUUAAUCAGUAGAGUACAGAUACCAAAAACUCUAUUGUCAGCGAAUCAAUCCACAACAGGAAAGUACACGAAGAAAAAUGUGUUUUUUUAAGAAGAAGGAAGAUCAGAAAAUUUGUAAGUCAAUAUUCUGAAGACUGAAUGGUAUUUAUAGGCAAGAAUAAUAUAUUCUGAAAGGUUGCAACCCUUUCAGAAUUGACACAACCAUUAAUGAAAGGUUGCAAACUUUCAAAUGGUAUUGACUGUUCCUGAAAGUUGCUACCUUUCAGAAUAGUGGCGGGAAUUUUUUUAAAUAUAAUGGAAUUUAAAAUGGGUCACGCGCGUGGAUCCGAGUCGGGUCGGGUUAACUAAAAAGUUGAAAACAUUUCGGUUAAUUUCUGUUAUCAACUAAUUGAAAAUAAUUUUUUGCCAUUUAAUUAAUUAAAUAAAUAAUUAAAAUAAAUUUGUCCAAAAAAUUAUCUCUCGAUCGAUCAUUUGCCAAAGCCGAAGCCAAAGCCGAAGCCGAAGCGAGCGAGCGACGACGACGACGGCGAGAGGGGGUUCCCUCUUUCCAACCCUUUUAAUAAUUAAUAGGAGUGUUUAUUUAUUUAAACUCUCCUAUUUUUAUUUCCAUUACCGAUGAGGGACUAUUGCCUUUUUUAUUAAAGCAUUAGAGGACUUUUCAAGUUCCCAACCUUUCAAGUUCUAAACUUUUUCAAAUUCCUCUCCUUCCCUCUAUUUCCCAUCAAUUCUUGCUCCAUACCCAACAAUCCCCCACAUUGAUGGGGAAUAGUUAUAACAUAGGAAUGCACGGACAAUUGUGUACUUUACAAGCAAGGAUUAAUUGCAUCUGGAUAAGUAGGUUUCCCCUUGGACUUUUCAUAGUGAACAUAUGUCGGAUAUACUCGAUCAAUCGAUAGAUGUGAUAUCUUUGAACCGUCGAACUUUGGUGUAUACCUAGAAAACCAUAUGUCACACAAUUAACCCUUUACUGUUUAUGAUUCUUACGGUUGUGUUCGUUUCAGCCAUGAACACAUCCUAGUUUCAUGAGUGUAUAGAGAAUAGGCUUUUGACAUAAAAUUCUCUUUGAAGUGGCUUCCACUUCACACUCACAUAGGUGAUUUCUAACCGUGUCAUCUCGUAGAUACACUAUUUGGUCAAAUCUACCAAACUUAACAAAUCAUUAAAAACUUUAGCUUUAUUACCUCAUUAACAAGCCUUAAAGUUUUAACCUUUUCCUGAACAUUGUCUUCAUCAUGAGAAUGGAUUGAGUUAUGACAAUGUCGAACCGUCAGCCACAACUUUGUUUUUCUCCUUGAAUCUAGCUCUUGGGAUCUACAGUCCACUAGAUAGAGUUACCGUCAUGCUGACUUGUCCUAAGCCGUAAACCCAUUCCCUUAGAUGAUAUUUCAACUGUCUCUCUCACUAGGCCUUUCGUUAGUGGAUCUGACACAUUAUCGCUUGACUUUACAUAGUCAAUUGUGAUAAUUCCACUAGAGAGCAGUUGUCUUAUUGUGUUAUGUCUACAUCGAAUAUGACGAGACUUCCCGUUGUACAUAACGCUCCCUGCCCUACCUAUUGCUGCUUGACUAUCGCAAUGUAUGCAAAUUGGUCCAACAGGUUUGGGCCAGAAUGGAAUAUCCUCUAGGAAAUUCCGAAGCCAUUCCGCUUCUUCACCAGCCUUAUCCAAAGCAAUGAAUUCAGAUUCCAUUGUGGAGCGAGAAAUACAUGUCUGUUUGGAAGAUUUCCAAGAGACAGCUCCUCCACCAAGUAUGAAUACAUAACCACUCGUGGAUUUUACAUCAUUUGACCCGGUGAUCCAAUUUGCAUCACUAUAUCCUUCAAUCACAGCAGGAUAUUUAUUAUAAUGCAAAGCAUAAUGUUGUGUCCAUUUUAAAUAACCCAACACACGUUUCAUAGCCAUCCAGUGAGUUUGAUUCGGAUUACUAGUGUACCGACUCAGUUUACUAAUAGCACAUGCUAUAUCUGGUCGCGUGCAAUUCAUAAUAUACAUCAAACUUCCCAACACUCUGGCGUAUUCUAAUUAAGAGUCACUUUGACCUUCAUUCUUUUUAAAUGUACAACUUAAAUCAAUUGGAGUUUUGAGUAUAUUGAAAUUCAAGUAAUUGAACUUAUCCAAUACUUUUUCAAUAUAAUGAUAUUGAGAUAAUGCUAGUCCCUGGAGAGUUUUGAUAAUCCUGACCCCUAAGAUCAAAUCAGCAACUCCUAAGUCUUUCAUAUCGAACUUGCUGGACAACAUGCGCUUAGUAGCAUUUAUAUCGUCAAUUUCUUUACUCAUUAUUAACAUGUCAUCAACAUACAAACAAACAAUGACUUCAUGAUUCAUAACGUUUUUAAUGUAAAUACAUUUAUCACAUUCGUUAAUCUUGAAUCCAUUUGCCAACAUUACUUGAUCAAAUUUAGCAUGCCAUUGUUUGGGUGCUUGCUUGAGUCCAUAAAGUGACUUCACAAGUCUGAACACUUUCUUUUCUUUACCAGGAACUAUAAACCCUUAAGGUUGUUCCAUGUAAAUUUCUUCCUCUAACUCUCCAUUUAAGAAGGUUGUCUUUACAUCCAUUUGGUGGAUUUUAAUAUCAUGCACUGCUGCUAGUGCUAUUAACAUCCUAAUUGAUGUUAUCCUUGUUACUGGAGAGUAUGUGUCAAAGUAGUCCAGACCUUCCUUUUGUCUAUACCCUUUGACUACCAGUCUAGCCUUAUAUUUGUCAAUAGUCCCAUCAAGUUUCAUUUUCCUUUUAAAGAUCCAUUUUGAUCCUAAAGGUUUAUUUCCUGGAGGAAGAUCAGUCAAUUCCCAAGUGUGAUUGCUUAAAAUUGAGUCAAUCUCACUAUUGACUUCUUCUUUCCAAUAAGUUGACUCUGAUGAAGACAUAGCUGCUUUAAAGGUUUGAGGCUCAUUUUCAAGCAAUAGUGCUACAAAAUCUGGUCCAAAAGAAACAGAUUUUCGUUGUCGAGUACUUCGCCUAGGUUCCUCACUAGUUAGAAUAUUUUCCAUUGAUUCUUCUCGUGGUCGUUUAAGUCUUUCACUUGUUGACUCACUUUCAGUUUUAUACGGAUAAAUGUUUUCAAAAAACUCCGCAUUAUCUGAUUCAAUUAUCAUUAACAUGAAUCUCAGGAUUAUCAGAUUUGUGAACCAAAAAUCGACAGGCUUUACUAUUCACAGCAUACCCAAUAAAGACACAAUCUAUUGUUUUGGAUCCAAUUUUAACCCUCCUAGGUAAAAGAACCUCUACCUUGGCUAAACACCCCCACACUUUGAAAUAUUUCAAGUUGGGUUUUCUUCCUUUCCACAACUCAUAUGGAAUUGAUUGUGUUUUUCGAUGGGGUACUCUAUUGAGUAUUUUAUUAGCUGUAAGGAUGGCUUCCCCCCAAAGAUUUCGCGGUGAACCAGAAUUGAUCAUUAAGGCAUUCAUCAUUUCCUUUAAUGUUCUGUUCUUCCGUUCUGCCAUACCAUUUGACUGUGGUGUAUAAGGUGCAGUAGUUUGAUGAAUAAUACCAUAUUCCAAACAUAUCUCUGCAAAAGGAGAUUCAUAUUCUCCACCCCUAUCUCUCCGAAUCAUUUUUAUCUUUAGAUUCAAUUGGUUUUCCACUUCAUUUUUGUAUUGCUUAAAUGCAUCAAUUGUUUCAUCCUUACUAUUAAGCAAAUAUACAUAACAAAAUCGAGUGCAGUCAUCAAUAAAAGUUAUAAAAUACUUUUUCCACCACGAGAUGGUGUUGACUUCAUAUCGCAUAUAUCUGUGUGAAUUAAGUCUAAAGUUUUAGAAUUUCUUUCAAUAGACUUGUAAGGAUGUUUAACAAACUUACUUUCCACACAAAUUUCACAUUUCGACUUAUCGCAUUUAAAAUCAUUCAAUACUUCUAGAUUAACCAAUUUUCGCAAGGCUUUGUAAUUUACAUGUCCCAAACGGGCAUGCCAUAAAUCACUUAACUCCAAUAAGUAAACAGAAGCAGAAUUUUUAUUAAUACUGUCAAUAACCAUUACAUUUAGUUUGAAAAGACCCUCAUUGAGGUAGCCCUUUCCUAUAAACAUUUCAUUCUUACUUAUUACAGCUUUAUCACUAACUAGGACACACUUAAACCCGUUCUUAACGAGUAGUGCAGCAGAAACUAAAUUCUUCCUAAUAGUAGGAACAUGCAGAACAUUGUUUAAAGUCAACACUUUGUCGGAUGUCAUUUUCAGCAUUACUUUCCUAGUUCCUGCAAUCCUUGUUGUUGCUGUGUUUCCCAUGAAUAAAUCUUCAUCGUACUCAGUAGGAGUGUACAUUGCAAAGGCUUCUUUUGCAGAGAAAAUAUGUCUAAUAGCACCUGAGUCGAGAAACCACUCCUUGGGAUUUGCAACUAAGUUACACUCUGAUAUCAUUGCAUACAAGUCAUCUGCAUCUUCCAUCUUUUCCACGAUGUUUGCUUGAAUUUUUCCUUUGCCUUUGUUUUUGUCCUUUCUUGGAGCAUGACAAUCAGAAGAUCUAUGACCAGCCUUGCCACAAUUAUAACAGUUGCCUUUGAAUUUCUUCUUGGCCUGUUCUGACUUCUGCUCGUUGGACUUCUUUCUCUUUUUGUCUUUGGUAGGAGCUUCUUCAACAAUAUUAACUCCAAUUAUUGUUGAACUCUUACGUGACUUCUUUUCGGCAUUUCUGUUAUCUUUCUCAAUCUUGAGACGAAUCACAAGAUCUUCAAGCUUCAUUUCUUUACGCUUGUGCUUUACAUAAUUCUUGAAAUCAUUCCACGAAGGAGGCAACUUCUCGAUCAUUGCAGCCACUUGAAAAGCUUCAUUUACUACCAUAUCUUCAGCAAUCAGAUCAUGGAGAAUAUGUUGAAGUUCCUGCACUUGUGUUCCAACAAUUUUACUAUCUACCAUUUUAUAGUCUAAAAACUUUGCGACCACAAAUUUUUUCAAGCAUGCAUCUUCUGUCUUAUAUUUCUUCUCAAGUGCAUUCCACAACUCUUUUGAACUUGUUAUUGCACUAUAGACAUUAUAUAAGUCAUCCUCUAAAGCACUCAAAAUGUAACCUUUACAUAGGAAGUCUGACUGUUUCCAUGCUUCAACAAUCAUAAAUUUUUCCCUGUCUGGCAUAUCAUCAGCAGAUACUGGAGUAUCUUCACUUGUAAAUUUCUGCAGACCAAGAGUGGUAAGCCAGAAAAAUACUCGUUGCUGCCAUCUUUUGAAAUUCACACCUGUGAAUUUACCCGGUUUCUCUGCUUGUGAUACAAGAGUUCGGGUUGGAAGAAAAUGAUCUUAAUCAGUAGAGUAUAGAUAUCAAAAACUCUACUGUCAGCGAAUCAAUCCACAGCAGGAAAGUACACGAAGAAAAAUGUGUUUUUUUAAGAAGAAGGAAGAUCAGAAAAUUCGUAAGUCAAUAUUCUGAAGACUGAAUGGUAUUUAUAGGCAAGAAUAAUAUAUUUUGAAAGGUUGCAACCCUUUUAGAAUUGACACAACCAUUAAUGAAAGGUUGCAAACUUUCAAAUGGUAUUGACUAUUCCUGAAAGUUGCAACCUUUCAGAACAGUGGCGGGAAUUUUUUUAAAUAUAACGGAAUUUAAAAUGGGUCACGCGCGCGGAUCCGAGUCGGGUCAGAUUAACUAAAAAGUUGAAAACAUUUCGGUUAAUUUCUGUUAUCAACUGAUUAAUUGAAAUAAUUUUUGGCCAUUUAAUUAAUUAAAUAAAUAAUUAAAAUAAAUUUGUCCAAAAAAUUAUCUCUCGAUCGAUCAUUUGCCGAAGCCAAAGCCGAAGCGAGCGGCGACGACAACGGCGCGAGGGGGGUCCCUCUUUCCAACCCUUUUAAUAAUUAAUAGGAGCGUUUAUUUAUUUAAACUCUCCUAUUUUCAUUUCCAUUACCGAUGAGGGACUAUUGCCUUUUUUAUUAAAGCAUUAGAGGACUUUUCAAGUUCCCAACCUUUCAAGUUCUAAACUUUUUCAAAUUCCUCUCCUUCCCUCUAUUUCCCAUCAAUUCUUGCUACACACCUAACAAAGUUAACGUAAGUAUUUUGCUUGUAGAUAUGAUAUUUAAACUUUAGUCCGUUUCAAAAAUUAUAUAAGGUUUAUCUGAUUAUUUAGAGACGAGUUUGACACUUAAAAGUCAAAUGUCUAAAGUUAAUAGUAAAACGGCAAAAUUUUAUAAAAUUUGAUUGUUCUUUGAAUAACUUUCCUAAAAACGGUUAUUUGUGCACUUCAUCCAAAAUUAACUAAGAGAAGUUUCUACCGAUGUUAAAAUAAAUGAAAAUUAUAUUAUAUGAUUUGUAUAGAAGUCAUUACAUCCUUCAAACAAUUAUCAACUAAUUUAUGUCUAAGUUGUCCUUUGUUUGCUGAAAAUUCCCACAUCGUUUAAUCUAAAACAGGAAGUUGAAGUUCUAAUGUAAAUCAAAAUGCCUAAAAUUUUGUUAAAUGUAUCUUUGUUCAAUAAUUGUUUUUUAACGUGAUUGUAAUGAUACAUGCAUAUUGUUAACGUCUAUAAUAAGAAAUUAUAAGAUUUCUCAUUCAUACCUUGGUGAGUUUAGUGUUGGUAAACUUGUACAACAUAGUCAUUUAUAAUAAUAUCACAGAAGAGCAUGUAAAGCAUCUGCGUAAAGAUGUUAGUCAUAAGUCUAUUGAGUGAAAACUAAAUUAAGAAAACUUUUAUUUUUCAAUGUCAAUUGGAUUUCGAAAACUUUCAUCAUCAUAAUAUCUUACUCUUGAUAUACUUGAAUUUCAUCAUCAUAAUACCUUACUCUUGAUAUACUUGAAUUUCAUUUACAUAUUUCGGUUUUUUAAACCUGUAUAUCUAAAGUUGUCCCAAAAGUAGAUUGGAAAAGGCUCAAAAAUACACCUGAACUAUCAGAAAUAGCUCAGUAUACCCUUAAACUAAAUUCUGGCUCAAAAUAUCCUUCUGUUAAAGUAUUGGGUCACUUUUAUCCUUAUUUUUAACAGAGGUGUGUUAACUGCACCUGGACACCAGGUGGACGCCACAUAAGCAACAAAUAACCUCACCUCCACAUAGACUCAUAAGACCUUAAUAACGAAUUUUUCCCUCAUUUCUCUAAUAGAUAACAAUUUUCACCCAUUCUUAUUUCUCUAAAACAUAAUAUGAUUCCCCUUUCUUUCUCUUAUACGAUUUUCCCUCUCUCUUACACGAUUCCACCUAGGGUUUCACUACACUACUAUGCCUUAGUAAAAUGAGGUGUUUGUUUGAAGUAGUUGAAUAGGAAGAUCACUAUGAUUAAUUAGGACACUUGGUCUAUGCUGUUAAACCAUUCACAUUCAAAUGAUACUUUGUUUACAAAUAAGCAAAUUCACACCUAUUUUGCAAGUAUAAUGGAAACAAACGAUAAGCUUUCAAGUAUAAUAGAAAGAAACGAUAAGCUCUCUGCUCUCUUUGCUCGUUGGCUUCACAUCAACCGACAACAUAUUACACUAUUAUAUAUUAAGAUAAGAAAUCCCAACAGGGCUACGAAUUUGGAAAGAUACAUAUUUUAAUUUAACAGAAAGCAGUACUGGAAUAGCUCUUAACAACAUUACUAGACAGUAUUUGGAUCAAUGAGCUGUUUUUUGGACCAACACAUCUAGGGGUUUUGAACUGGCUCACCGCGCCUCCUAAUCCAACGAAAUGAUCCAAUAUCUUAUGAAAGGUUCCCCUCUUCACAAUCCUCAGUUCAAGUGCUCCAAUUGCAUUCACUUUCCUGGAGCUCACGUAGCCUGCAUCGAGGAACGAUUUGUCCAGACAGUUGCAGCACUCUUGCAAUAUUUCAUCAGUUGCUUCCCCACUCAGUUCCCAGAAGAUGACGUAGUGUCCUGGAUCAGCUGAGACGUUGACAUGGCUGGUGAAGUCCAUCACUUCUAGUUUUUCGUCAACUAAGUGCUUGCCUGCAGCUUCCACGGCUAGUUGCAAAUCUUUCUCAGUGUUCUUGUCUAUAUUAAUGCUCAGCAAAAGGUUCCUUCUGCAGACAAACUGGAGUUCUGGAGUGCCAUUGUGGAAUCCUUUUAUCUUGACAACAUCACCUAGUCUGUAACGAUAUAAACCUGCAUAUA